rnacentral:lncRNA from 1 species
ACGGGGAAGAAUGAGAAAAGAGCUAUAAAUAAGGCCUUAUCGGGAUUGGGGGUAGGUUAACUUUUUGUCUUCAUUUGGUCUGUAGAGGCUGCUAGGUCUAGGAAGGACUACUAUCUUUUCCUGGGGAGGUUUGACAUGAUAUUAUCAUCUUUAUUGCUUUCUUUUAUAUUUCCUUCUACUGUAUCUCUUGGCAUUUAUAUAUAAAUAAAGAUCUACAGAGUGCUGUCUCUGUUUGCCAACUGUUUGGGUAAUUUAGUAUUUUAUUUGUGGAGUCUCUACAACUGGUAUCAGAGCCCAAAUGCUGGGGGUGGUGACGCGACUGAUGGCGCAAAGGCAAAUAGAAGAAAGAAUAGAUGGAACAGAGAAAGAAAUACUGGGCUUGAAGGAAAUGAUUCUGGAAAUGAAGAAAUCCAUGGAUAGACUGACUGAUGAAAUGAAAAAAACAGCAGCUACAAAAGGCGAGAUGAAUCCGGAACUUCUGAUGGAUCAGUCAUGAAGUUAAAAGGAAAAUGGGAAGAAGCCGACAAUCUAGGGGAAAACAAUGUAGUAACUGUCGACCGAAGCAAAUAUAAGAAACUGGAAAUGCCGAUUUUUACCGGGGAAAAUCCUGAGUCAUGGGUGUUUAGAGCUGAGCAUUUUUUCGAAAUUAAUAGCCUACCGGAAGCAGAAAAAGUGAAAGUAGCGUGGUUAGUUUCGGACAAGAUGAAAUCGAUUGGUACCGUUGGAGUAACCAUAGAAAGAAGGUGGAAGGAUGGGAAGAUUUGAAGGUAAGGAUGUUUGAAUUUUUUCGAGAUUCUGGGCAGAAAGCUUAGGUGCAAGGCUGAUUCGAAUAGAACAAGAUGGAUCCUAUAAUGAUUAUGUCAAGAAAUUCGUACAAUAUUCUGCACCACUACCGCACAUGGCUGAAAGCGUGCUCUUAGAUGCAUUCGUGACAGGUCUAGAACCGGCUCUUCAAGCAGAAGUUAUUAGUAGACAUCCUCAAACCUUAGAGGAAUGUAUGAAGGAGGCACAACUGGUAAGUGGCAGAAACCUAGCCUUGAAAUUAGCCAAGGCAGAAUGGGUAAACAGUGUGACUAGGGAAGGAGGAGGCUCAAGCAAGGGACAAAGCAGUCAAGAUAAAAGUUCACCAAAGAAGACUGAGUUCCCCAUGAAGCAAGUCACUAUUCCCAUUAAAGGAAACUACCAGAAAAAUGAACCUCCAGUUAAAAGACUCUUGGACACGGAAUUCAGAGCAAGAUUGGACAAGGGUUUGUGUUUUAGAUGCAAUGAGAAGUACUCACCGGGACACCGAUGCAAGAUGAGAGAGAAAAGGGAAUUAAUGUUAUUUAUACUUAACGAAGAAGAGAGUGGCGGGGAGGAAGUCAAAAUGGAAGAGACCGAAGAAGUAAUGGAGCUGAACCAGUUAGUUGUUGCUGAAACCACCGAAAUUGAAUUGAAGACACUCACGGGGUUAACAUCCAAAGGGACAAUGAAACUGAAGGGGCAUGUAAAAGGAAGGGAGGUGGUGAUUCUCAUCGACAGUGGAGCUACGAACAACUUCAUCCAUGAAGCAGUGGCAAUGGAAGGAGGGUUGAACAUUGAACCCGGUACACAAUUUGGAGUGACUAUUGGAGACGGGACCCGCUGUAAAGGGAAAGGUAUUUGCAGAAAGGUGGAACUGAGAUUGAAAGAAAUGACAGUUAUAACUGAUUUUCUAGUGGUGGAACUAGGAAAUAUUGACGUGAUUUUAGGGAUGCAAUGGCUAGAUACCACCGGCACAAUGAAGGUACAUUGGCCAUCAUUAACCAUGACCUUUUGGGCAAAAGACAAGCAAAUCGUGUUAAGAGGAGAUCCAUCCUUAGUGAAACCUGAAUGUUCUUUGAAGACAUUGGAAAAAACGUGGGAUAUAGUGUAAGACCUCCAGUUAUUCAUACAUAUCAAAGGAGGGGCAGAAAAGUAAUUGGACAAAUUAAUAAUGAGGAAGGAAAAAGAGGAGGAGAUCCUGCAGGUGGGGCCCAGGCACAGAAAUAAGAGAAAGAUGAGAGAAGGAAUAUAAAUAGGUUUUUUAGGUCUAGGGGAGGUAGGUUUUAUUUUUAUCCUGAAGUUGGCGGCUGCUUAGCCUAGAGGAAUAUCCAGUCUUUCCCUAGAGGAAGCUGGGUUUGUCUUCAUUAUUCCUUGUUUUUCUUGAAUCUUUAUGUUUUUCUGUACUCAUUUUGGCUAUAUAUAAAUAAAGAUAGCAGAGGGCUACCUCUGUUUUUGGCCAUUGUAAGGGAGAAAUAGUGAAGUAAGCAAGUUGAAUCCUUACAUAUAGAAGACCAAGGCUUCCUCUUAGAAUUCCAGAAUUAUGAGAUGGAAGUAGAGAAUGAAUAUGAACUGGGGACAAGAUUAAAAGGAGAUGAGGAGGAAAUAUCUAUGAUCCGAUCCCUGCUCAAGUAUUAUGCGGAGAUAUUUGAGACACCGAAGAAAUUACCUCCAAAAAGAGCUAUUGAUCACCGAAUAUUAACCCUACCUGACCAUAAACCUAUCCCUUACUCCAGCCCGGUGUUGUUAGUGAAGAAAAAAGAUGGUGGAUGGAGAUUUUGUGUCGAUUACCGCAAGUUAAAUCAGGCGACAGUAUCGGAUAAGUUCCAAUUCCUGUGAUAGAGGAAUUAUUAAAUGAGCUGAAUAGGGCAACGGUUUUCUCGAAAUUAGAUCUGAAAUCUGGUUAUCACCAGAUUAGAAUGAAAGAGGAAGAUGUGGAGAAAACUGUGUUCCGCACACAUGAAGGGCACUAUGAGUUUCUAGUAAUGCCGUUUGUCUCACGAAUGCUCUGGCAACCUUCCAAUCUUUGAUGAACCAGGUAUUUAAACCUUUCCUUCGGCGCUGUGUUUUGGUGUUCUUUGAUGAUAUACUGGUUUAUAGUGCGGAUAUAGAUGAACACGCAAAGCAUUUGGGCAUGGUAUUCAAUGUUUUGAAGGAUAACCAGCUGUUUGCUAACAAAAAAAAAUGCGUUAUAGCCCAUUCUCAAAUACAGUACUUCAUAUGAUAUCCAAAAGAGGAGUUGAGGCAGAUGAGGAUAAGAUCAAGAAGAUGAUUAAUUGGCCACCACCAACGAAUAUAUCUGGUCUGCGGGGCUUCUUACAGGAUAUAUUAUAGGAGGUUUGUCAAGGGUUAUGGAGAGAUCGCUGCACCGCUAACCAAGUUAUUACAGAAGAAUGCUUUUAAGUGGAAUGAAGAAGCAAAUACUGCCUUCGAAAAUUUGAAGCUAGCAAUGACUACUCUACCAGUGUUGGCAUUACCAGAUUGGAACAUUCCCUUUAUUAUCGAAACUGAUGCAUCUGGCGUAGGGUUAGGAGCGGUGAUCUCUCAAAAUGGCCACCUGAUUGCCUUUUUCAGUCAGAAGUUAUCCACAAGGGCUCAAAACAAAUCCAUCUAUGAAAGAGAGUUGAUGGCUGUAGUUCUAUCAGUUCAAAAAUGGAGGCAUUAUUUGCUGGGCAGGAAGUUCACCAUACUUUCAGAUCAAAAGGCUCUUAAAUUCUUGCUUGAACAGAGAGAGGUACAACCCCAAUUCCAGAAAUGGUUGACAAAGCUCCUUGGAUAUGAUUUCGAGAUUUUAUAUCAACCCGGACAUCAGAACAAGGCAGCGGACGCCCUAUCUAGAAUGGAGCAACCGGUGGAGCUGCACAGCUUGACAACUACUGGAAUCAUUGAUGUGAAACUAAUCGAGCAGGAAGUUGAGAAUGAUGCUGAACUUAAGAAAAUUAUGGAAAAUCUGAAGAAAAAUGCAGAAGAAGGAAGCAAGUUUCAAGUGGAAAAAGGAAGAUUGCUCUAUAAGGGGAGAAUGGUAGUAUCUCAAACUUCUACACUUAUACCCAAGAUCCUACAUACUUUCCACGAUUCUAUCCUCGGGGGACAUUCUGGAUUUUUAAGAACUUACAAGAGGAUCAGUGGAGAACUAUAUUGGAGGGGUAUGAAGGCUGAAAUAAAGAAAUAUGUGGAACAAUGCGAGAUCUGCCAGAGAAACAAAUACGAAGCAACCAAACCAGCUGGGGUACUUCAACCAAUUCCAAUUCCUGACAGAAUCUUAGAAGAUUGGACCAUGGACUUUAUUGAGGGGUUGCCACUAGCUGGAGGGUUAAUGUGAUCAUGGUGGUAGUUGAUCGGCUGAGUAAGUAUUCUUACUUUAUAUCAUUGAGACAUCCGUUUUCAGCCAAGCAAGUUGCUUCCAUAUUCAUCGACAGAAUAGUAAGCAAGCACGGCAUUCCUAAGUCGAUUAUCACAGAUCGGGAUAAAAUCUUUCUUAGUAAUUUUUGGAAGGAACUGUUUGCAACCAUGGGAACUAUUCUAAAGAGGAGUACCGCGUUUCACCCACAAACUGAUGGGCAGACAGAAAGGGUAAAUAGAUGUCUCGAAACUUAUCUGCGAUGCUUCUGUAAUGAACAACCAAAAAAAUGGAUAGACUGAUUCCAUGGGCAGAAUUGUGGUAUAAUACCACCUUCCAUGCAUCCACCAAAAUGACCCCUUUCCAGACGGUAUACCGCAGACCGCCUCCUCCCCUGUUAUCCUAUGGUUACAAGAAAACUCCUAAUAAUGAGGUUGACACGCUGCUGAAGGAACGUGACUUAGCCAUCAAUGCCUUAAAAGAACACCUGUGUGUAGCCUAGAACAGGAUGAAGAAAAUGGCUGAUCGAAAUAGAAGAGAGUUAAAAUUUAAGGUAGGAGAUGAAGUCUACUUGAAAUUGAGACCUUACCGGCAACGCUCCUUGGCUCGGAAGAAGUGUGAAAAGUUAGCACCUAAAUAUUACGGACCCUACAAAAUUACUGAAGAAAUAGGAGCAGUUGCGUACAGAUUGAUGUUACCGCCGGAAGCCAGUAUCCACAAUGUGUUCCAUAUUUCUCAGUUAAAACUGAAACUGGGUAGUCAACAAGCUGUUCAACACCAGCAACCUAGGCUAACGGAAGAGUUUGAGUUACAAUUAUGGCCGGAAACAGUGUUGGGAGUCCGUUGGAAUCGGGAAUUGGGAGGAAAUGAAUGGUUAAUUAAGUGGAAAGGGCUGCCGGACAGUGAAACAACUUGGGAAUCUGUUUUCCAAAUGAACCAACAAUUCCCUGACUUUCACCUUGAGGACAAGGUGAACCUGGAACCGAGGGGUAUUGUAAGGCCCCCUAUUAUCCAUACAUACAAAAGGAGGGUAAAAACGUAAAAGCUCACGCAGCAGAAAAGGGGAGAAUAUUAGGAAAAGAACAUGAGAGUGGGGCCCACGGGGAAGAAUGAGAAAAGAGCUAUAAAUAAGGCCUUAUCGGGAUUGGGGGCUAGGUUAACUUUUUGUCUUCAUUUGGUCUGUAGAGGCUGCUAGGUCUAGGAAGGACUACUAUCUUUUCCUGGGGAGGUUUGACAUGAUAUUAUCAUCUUUAUUGCUUUCUUUUAUAUUUCCUUCUACUGUAUCUUUUGGCAUUUAUAUAUAAAUAAAGAUCUACAGAGUGCUGUCUCUGUUUGCCAACUGUUUGGGUAAUUUAGUAUUUUAUUUGUGGAGUCUCUACAAAAUUAUAGCAAUUCAUUGCAAAUAAGAUGCAGUACCUUGAUUUUAUGGUUAAAGGUUCCAAUUUUUUCUUUUUAAGCUCUUAUUUAGAAGGAUUCACCUGCUACAAGUUGAAAUGUUUGUUGGAAAAAUUGGACAAGAAGUUAUAACCUUACAAGAAAAUGAUCCUUAUAGAAAGAACUAACUUGAUUCAAGCAAAAUAUCUUCAAGAACAAAAUUGCAAUUACACGAACACUUAUUAACACAAAUAAAAAAUGCAAAUCAGACUAUUGAGUACAAUGAAAUACAACAUGAUAACAAGACAGAGAUGCAACAUAUACAUAAACAUACAAAUCAGAAAAGAAGUUGAUUCUUGACAACAAAGUAAAAUAAAUACAAAACAUAAUAAAUUUCUAUGACCAUUAGGACUCUGUAGAGAAAUGCCUACUUUCGACAUAAGCAUUUCAUCAAAUUCCAUCUAAAGCGAGAGGUUGCCCAUGCAAGCUCUGAUACCAGGCAAUCUCGACCGCAUUUUACUUUACCUAAGCAGCUGGCUUGACUCCCUCUUUUUUUUCUCCCUCCCUCUCUACCGGCUGCCGUGCUAGGUGAAGAACUAAAAGGACCUACUAGGCGGGGUCGGGUUUUGCUUAGGCAAGAAAAGCGGAGAGGAUCCCCACGAAAACUCUGAAACCGGGGAUCUCGGCACGCAUUUUACUUGACCUAAGCGGCUGGCUUGGCUCCCUCUUUUUUUUCUCUCUCCCUCUCUACAGGCUGCCAUGCUGAGUGAAGAACUCUAAGAACCUACUAGGCGGGGUCGGGUUUUGCUUAGGCAAGAAAAGCGGAGAGGAUCCCCACGAAAAUUCUGAAACGGGGAUCUCGGCGCGCAUUUUACUUGACCUAAGCGGCUGGCUUGGCUCCCUCUUUUUUUUUCUCUCCCUCUCUACCGGCUGCCAUGAUGGGUGAAAACUCUAAGAACCUACUAGGCGGGGUCGGGUUUUGCUUAGGCAAGAAAAGCGGAGAGGAUCCCCACGAAAAUUCUGAAACCGGGGAUCUCGGCGCGCAUUUUACUUGACCUAAGCGGCUGGCUUGGCUCCCUCUUUUUUUUCUCUCUCCCUCUCUACCGGCUGCCAUGAUGGGUGAAAAACUCUAAACCUACUAGGCGGGUCGGGUUUUGCUUAGGCAAGAAAAGCGGAGAGGAUCCCACGAAAAUUCUGAAACCGGGGGAUCUCGGCGCGCAUUUUACUUGACCUAAGCGGCUGGCUUGGCUCCCUCUUUUUUUUCUCUCUCCCUCUCUACCGGCUGCCAUGCUGGGUGAAAAACUCUAAGGACCUACUAGGCGGGUCGGGUUUUGCUUAGGCAAGAAAAGCGGAGAGGAUCCCCACGAAAAUUCUGAAACCGGGGAUCUCGGCGCGCAUUUUACUUGACCUAAGCUGGCCUGGUUCCCUCUUUUUUUUCUCUCUCCCUCUCUACCGGCUGCCAUUGGGUGAAAAACUCUAAGGACCUACUAGGCGGGUCGGGUUUUGCUUAGGCAAGAAAAGCGGAGAGGAUCCCCACGAAAAUUCUGAAACCGGGGAUCUCGGCGCGCAUUUUACUUGACCUAAGCGGCUGGCUUGGCUCCCUCUUUUUUUUCUCUCUCCCUCUCUACCGGCUGCCAUGCUGGGUGAAAAACUCUAAGACCUACUAGGCGGGUCGGGUUUUGCUUAGGCAAGAAAAGCGGAGAGGAUCCCCACGAAAAUUCUGAAACCGGGGGAUCUCGGCGCGCAUUUUACUUGACCUAAGCGGCUGGCUUGGCUCCCUCUUUUUUUUCUCUCCCCUCUCUACCGGCUGCCAUGCUGGGUGAAAAACUCUAAGGACCUACUAGGCGGGUCGGGUUUUGCUUAGGCAAGAAAAGCGGAGAGGAUCCCCACGAAAAUUCUGAAACCGGGGGAUCUCGGCGCGCAUUUUACUUGACCUAAGCGGCUGGCUUGGCUCCCUCUUUUUUUUCUCUCUCCCUCUCUACCGGCUGCCAUGCUGGGUGAAAAACUCUAAGGACCUACUAGGUCGGGUUUUGCUUAGGCAAGAAAAGCGGAGAGGAUCCCCACGAAAAUCUUAGAGAUGGGAGGUUCGAUCCUUCAUACCUCGAUUGUUGUACUUAAAAACUCGUGGUUCACUCUCUGUUAGUAGUAUUCACUUGUUUUUCUUCAUACAUAUAUCAUAAAUCCCUCCCGAAAUGAAGAAAUAUAAAAGGAGAAAAACUCCCUAGAAAGGAAUUCCCAAAUGAAGAAGACAAACUACUUGAUUAUAGGACAACUUUGUUCUACUAAACCCCAACAUAAGUUGGAAAACCAAGGUGUGACUUAAGUAAUUGACUAUGACAUUAGCAUAUGAUACUCGUCUCAUGCAUGGAUUGACCAAUUGAAAGACAUUGGAAAGCACCCAACCCUAACUGGGUUCCCAAUCACGAAUAAUUCAACCAGUCCCACCCUCUAUGAGUGUUCUCCAACCAUGCAACAUCAACAUUCAUCUUCUAGGAACGCUUCUUUGCAGCUUCCAACGACUAAAAACCAUGUUAAUGCUCAAAUUGUUCUAAAAGCCAUGUUAAUGCUCAAAUUGAUUCUAGGAAGGCAGCUUCCUUCUUGAAAUAAAGAUUCUCCAAAAAGCUUUUUCUACAUCAAAUUGACAGCUUGAAACAAAUUCACUAUCUUUUAAAUAAUUUAUGCCCCUACGCUUGGAAGGUUGUAUAAUUUAAAUCAAUAUGGAUUUAGUAAUCUAAUCAAUAAACUCCAUAAGCUUAUAAAUUUACGUCCUUGACUUGGUUUGAAAAUAUCAUGCAAAACAUGAGAAUCAAUUUAGUAUUUGUUACGAUUACAAAUUCUAUUCUAACACAUUUUGUAGACUCGUCAAAUUUUAAGAAAAUCUCAAUAAGAUUCUAGAAGUGAUUCUUAAUUAAAUUGGAACCAAGGCUUAACCAAUAGAAGAAAACAAAUUCUUAUAUUAUCCAACUUUAGUCCAACAAACUUUGUACAUCUCCUUGAUCACAAAAUAAUUCUUAUCUUUAAAAAAAGUUUACUAGAGGAUAAUUAAUAAUUUGAACUCGGGUGAAUCACAAAAUAUUUUUAAACAUGAACAUGCAUCUCAUAAACUAAAUGUAGAAGAUUUACAAUAGUAAACUCACUUAGUCGCAUAGUAAAAGUAACUCAAAAUAUAUUUAGAAACAAAAAUACUUUACCUUACAACAAACUAUAGCCGUUCGAUGAAUAGACUACUAAAGAAAAACAAUACUUUAUCCUUUGACAAACAUCUAAGUAUUCUUCUGACCAUUCCUCACUCUCUUAAGCUUCAUUUCUUGAAGUUCCUCAAACAAUGAAAACCAAGUUGGUAUGAGAGAAACCACACAAUUCACACUUGUUUUUGCAGCCUCUCCAUUUCUUUAGCUCUCUCAUUCCAAAGCUUCAACACUUUCACCCAUCAAAAAAAGCUAUGGCCUUACCAAUCUCUUCCCUCUUAAUAAUUUCUGGUUCUCUCCCAAAUGCACCAUUUCUUUGACCCAACUCCCACUCCAAUCUUCACCACUUCAAUCAACAACUUCUCAUUGUAAAACUGUUCAGCAAACAAUGGCCAUGUGAUCAUUGGUAAGCCUGAACUUAUUCCUUCAAGAAUUGAGUUCCAACCACAAUGAGUCAAAAACCCUCCAACACUUUGUGCUCUAAUAUCAUCAAUUGUGGAGCCCAUCCCUUUAUUAUCAAACCCUUUUUGGUUCUACUCAUUCUCUCCUCAAACCCUUUUUGUAACCCUUUGUUUACUAUGUCGUCAUCGUUGUCUUCGUCGUUCUUUUUUAUGACCCAAAUGAAACUUUGACUGGAUUCUUGAAUCGCAUGUGCUAUUUCGGUUAUUUGGUUACGACUCAUCUGAAUCAAGCUUCCGAAGUUGAUGUAGAGAACUGAAUUUGGUUCUUUCUCAUUGAGCCAUUGGAGUAAGUUGGUGGUUUGAAUGUUGGGGUUUCCACCUCUUGAUUCUUUAUCUUCAAUUUCAUUGUUUGCCAACAAUGAUACUGGCCCUAUGAUCCAUGUUUUGAUCCCUAUAAUCUAUCAAACAAUAAUAAUAAUAAUAAAAACAAAUCCUCGAAGUCUCGAAUCAAUUCAAAAAUAUUUGGGUGCAUCUUGAGCUCCAUCUAUUUUGUAUAGCUUAUUCAAUGUCCAGAUUACACGUUACCACGUGACAAACUUCUCUUUUUUAAAAACGAUAAUUUGAAUAUUUUUUUCUUCUUUGCGACCGAAGGAGAUAUACAAGGCUGGGUGCAACAGGCCAACGUAAUGAUAAUUUUUUAUUUAUCACAUGUCUAUUUCUAUAUAUUAUUAGUGUUUAUUAGACAAUAAAAUUUCAUGCUACAUAAGUAAAUAAUUUGUCUCAUGUUGUAUUAUUUGACAACAACCUUUUAAAAACACGUUCUUAAAGUAAAAUUUGUAGUUUUCUUGAAAAACUUUAACUUAGAAUUCAAGUGUGUUUUAAAAAUAUGUGAAUAAGCUUAAUUAACAACUUCUAAAAAUCAAGCUUCUAAACAAAUAUAUACUUCAAGAUGUAAUUUUUGUUCUCAAAUAUUCUCUUUUUUUAAAAAAAUAUGAAUAAUAUAAUUCUAACGAAAUCGUGAUCAUAAAUCAAGUACAAAAUUUCAAAACCAAAAGAUUACGUUAAGAAACGAGUAAUGUGUAGUUAUAUACAAUGGUUUGAGGUAAACCUCACCUUAUUCAAGUGUUCUUCAUAUGAGGCUUCCAAUUCAUGAAAGCGAUUCAUCAACAUUCCAUAGCAUCGUUUCUCUGAUUCUCUAAUGACAUCAAGCAAUUGUGAGAAACCAUCUGGUUUAUGUCUAGUGAUCCAACUUGGCAACUCAGAUCUCACCAUUUCAAUAACAUCAGGCAACCCCGGAAGUUUGAACUUUUCAUUGUUGGAUUCAACUUCAAGAUGUGGCUUAUGCUCCUUUAUACAUUGUUCCGCACAAUAACUGAAGAAGCUUGAACCGUUGAAGGCAAGCCGUGGGAUUCUGAGCUCGGCUGCCACAUCACUCGUCCAUGGGUAAAAGACGUCAGAAACGAUACAAUCUGGCUGCAUCUCGUGGAUAAGGUCUACGAGUUGGGGUUGGAGCAUGAGAAACGCUUGGAAAACCUUGGUCAUCUUCAUCGAUGUGGCAGUACUAAGAUUUUGAAUAGCAGGAGAGAGACCGACCUGUUAAGAAUAUGAACGAAAAGAUCACUUCGUUUCAUACAUGACGACUUAAAAAGAAUCUUUCGUUUAAAGAUAAUUGUCAUAGAUAAGUUGAUAACAAAAGUAUUUUCAAAAGUAAAAAUGUGAACGGUAAGAAACGACAAUGAGAUUUAUGCGAUUAUUCACUAACAUAUAGUUAAAUUUGUUCACGAAUAGAGGAAAUUAACAAUUGUAUUAUAGAUCCAGACGCAAAGGCCUGAAAGAUUAAAGAGUUCAUUUACGACGCUUCUCUAAAGUCUAAACUCUAGACUCAAAAUCGUGACUAACCUAAAAUGUAUAUAUAAUUUAGGUUUCUAUGGCAUUAGCAAAUAUGUCACAAAACCACGUGAUUUAUAAAUACGAUGAUAUUUUAAAUUGUUAGUCCAUCACUUGUGUAUUAGUUAUAGAUUUUCAUUAUCGAUAGACCAUUUUACCAAUAUUGAUGUAAUUCAAGUUGGAUUGAUUUUUCAAAAGAAUUCUCUGCCAUAUUUCAGGCUAGGAGACUGUUAUAUAUUGAUAUCUCAAGGUUAGUUACAAGGUUGUUUUAUUUAGUUAGUUAAAAGGUUGUUUUAUUUAGUUAGUUACAAGACUGUUUUAGAAAGUUAGUUACAGCUGUAUUUCUAAUUAGUUAGGGAUUUUUACUAACUAACUAGCUAUAGUUUACAUCAUUCCACCCCCUAAGGAUGGACUUGUCCCAGGGUCCAUCAGUCAGCAAGCCUGAAACGAUCUGGUGCAUGGUAUGGCUUUAGAUCAGCAACAUUGAAGACUGGGUGUAUGUGUAUGUCUUGUGGUAGAUCGAUCUUGAAGGCAUUAUCUCCGUAUUUCUCUAAUAUAGGGAAUGACCCAAUUUGUCUGUCUUUCAGCUUGUUGUAGGUGCCAGUAGGAAAUCUGCUCUUUUUCAGGUGUACCAUUACUAGGUCUCCUUUAUUGAAGUGGGCUUGUCUUCUUUUUUAUCUGCUGCCUUUUUGUAGGAGUCUGUUGUCUGUAUAAGAUGAUCAUGGACUUCCUUGGGUAGUUUUUUGAUAUUUUCUGCCAUGCAUUCUGCUUCGUUGUUGAGAUCCACGGUUGUGGGGAGUGUAGUGAGAUCAAAGGUUAAUCGUGGUAGUUUGGUAUAAACUACUUCGAAGGGGGACUUUCCUGUUGAUCUGUUCUUCAUAUUAUUGAAGGCGAAUUCAGCUUGAGCCAAUGCUAGAUCCCAUUGUUUUGGUUUUGACCCGCUAAGGCAGCGUAGCAGAUUACCGAGGGUCCUGUUUGUUACUUCAGUUUGUCCAUCUGUCUGUGGGUGGGCUGUGGUGCUGAAUUUCAGUGUUGUGUCAAACUUCUUCCACAGUGUUCGCCAAAAGUGACUCAGGAACUUGACAUCUCUGUCUGAUACUAUGCUUUUAGGUACUCCAUGUAGUCGUACUACUUCUUUAAAGAAGAGGUUGGCUAUGUAGAUUGCAUCAUUUGUCUUUUUGCAUGCUACGAAAUGUGUCAUUUUGCUGAAUCUGUCCACUAUGACCAUUAUUGAGUCAAAUUGUCUUUGUGUUUUUGGUAAUCCAAUCACGAAGUCAAUUGAUAAAUCUUCCCAAAUUGAGGUCGGGAUGGGUAGUGGCGAGUAUAAUCCUGGAUUCGUGCUGGAGCCUUUGGUUCUUUGGCAGAUGGGGCAUCUUUUUACGAAAUUAUUGGAGUCUUUUCUUAUUUGCGGCCAGUAGUAUCGUUUGGAAGUGAUCUCCAAUGUCUUGUUCUGUCCGAAAUGUCCAGCUAGCCCUCCAGAAUGUGCUUCCUUUAUUAAGGCUUCACGUAGUGAGGUGUGCGGGAUGCAUAAUUGUUCUCCUUUAAAUAGAUAUCCUUCAACAAUGUGGUAGUCAUCAGCGUCUAAGAAGUUGGAGCAUUUGUACCAGAUAUCCUUGAAGUCAGUAUCACCUUCGUAUAAGUCGGGUAAAUGUUUGAAUGCUAUGAUUUCCGAGGACAGUAUUGUGAGUAGGGAGCCUUUUCUGCUUAGAGCAUCGGCCACCUUGUUCUCUUUGCCUGAUUGGUGUUUGAUCACGAAGUCAAACCUUUGGAGGAAGGAUAUCCAGCGUGCUGCAUCCUACUGAUAUUCUUUUGAGCUUGAAAGUAUUUUAGUGAGAAAUGGUCAGUUAGGAGUACAAAUUCUUUAGAGAUCAGGUAGUGUUCCCAUUGUUCUAGUGCUCGGACGAGGGCAUACAGCUCUUGUUCGUAUGUGCUCCAGGUCUGUCUUGCGGUGCUGAGUUUUUCACUGAAGUAUUCGAUAGGAUGUCCUUGUUGUACUAGGACAGCUCCAAUCCCUGUACAGCAUGCAUCAACUGCUACUUCAAAAGGUGAAGAGAAAUCUGGUAAUUUAAGGAUAGGGCUGGAUGUGAGCUUCUUUUUGAUAUCUUCAAAGCUUUCUUGUUGUAAUGGGGUCCAUUUGAAGUUUCCUUUCUUUAGACAGUCAGUUAGUGGUGCGGCUAAAGAGCUGAAAUUUCUGAUGAAUUUCCUGUAAAACGAAGCCAGGCCGAGGAAGGCUUGUAUUUCUUUAAUGGAGGCAGGAGUCGGCCAUGUAUGGAUGGCUUCGAUUUUCUUUGGUUCCAUGCUUAUGCUUCCUUGUUUGAUUAUAAAGCCGAGGAAUGCAAUUUCUUUUUUCAUAAACAUGCUUUUCUUAGUAUUUAUGUAGAGUUCCGCCUCUGUUAAGACUUGAAACAGCUUCCUUAGGUGUAGUAAAUGCUCAUCAUUGUUUGUGCUGUAAACAAGUAUGUCAUCGAAGUAAACUACUAUGAAUUUGUUGAGAAAUGGGUGAAGUACCUGGUUCAUCAAUCUCAUGAAGGUGCUGGGUGCAUUAGAAAGGCCGAAUGGCAUGACCAUCCAUUCAAAUAAUCCUUCGUUUGUCUUGAGGGCUGUCUUCCAUUCGUCGCCAGGUCUUACCCGUAUUUGAUGAUAGCCACUUUUCAAGUCAAUUUUCGAAAAGAUACUGGCUUUACCGAGUUGAUCUAGCAGGUCACUAAUCCUUGGAAUGGGAAAUCUAUACUUUACCGUGAUGCGGUUGAUGGCUCUGCUGUCAACGCACAUUCUCCAGCUUCCAUCUUUCUUUGGCGUGAGAAGUGCUGGUACUGCACACGGGCUGAGGCUAGGUUUGAUGUGCCCUUUCUUUAGUAAUUCCUCAAUAUGAUCAUGAAGUAUUUUGUACUCCUGGGGGCUCAUCCUAUAGUGAGCCAAAUUUGGUAGUGAUGCUCCCGGAAUCAAGUCUACGUGGUACUGUAUAUCUCGAAGGGGUGGGAGUCCCUUCGGUUCUUCCUUUAUAUGAGGGAACUCAUGAAGGAGCUGCUGUAAUUUGGGUUCUAUGUCUUCAACCUGUUUUUCUUUGGUUUUUUCAAUAACAACCAGUCCUAGGAUGUCUUCUUCCCUUUCUUUAAGCAUGUUUUUCCCACUAACAGUGAUGAAUAACUGUUUCUCACCUCUUAACCCUUCGUUAAUCUUUUUCGUUAUAGGGAGUAAGACUACCUUUCUUCCCAUCCAUUGAAACUCAUAUGUGCUUCAGCCUUUAGAUUCAAGACUGUUACUAAUUUCUUUGCUACGAAGUUUUCGCUGCUGCCGCUGUCUAUGAUUACCUCACAUACUCUUCCGUUUAUGGUGCAUCUUGUCUUGAAAAGACAGUGGCGUUGCAGGUUCUUUUCUUCCUUGGGCGUAAUUAGUAACCGUUGGAUAACACAAGAGACCCUUUCCCCAUCAUCUGCUUCAAUCAGUUCAGUUUCUUCCUCUGCUUCUAUACUGUCUUCACUUGUCUGUCCUCCUUCUUCGGCUAUUGCAAUGGUUUUUCUUUGCGGACAGUUGUUGGACAGGUGGCCAGUUUGGCCACAUCGGAAGCAUUUUCCUAAUGACGGGCGGAGUAGCUGUUCUGACCACUAGGCUUGAACGUCUGUUCUUUCUUUCUUUCAACGGCUACUUCUUGAUUAUCAAUCUCUUUCCCUUUUGCUUUUGUUGAGGUUGAAGGUUGGUCGUUUGUUUUGCUUUUUGUCGAAUUUGUUUCCCAUGCUGAUCUUCUAUUUAGAUUCUUGGAUCGGAUUGCAAUCAUCUCCUCUACCGUUUCUGCAAAUGAUAUUGCUUCAGAUAGGAAACGGAAUGGUUGUAGUCUGACCUUUUCCUUGAUGUCGAAUCGAAGGCCUCCCACAAAUCUUGCAACCUGGUGCUGUUCAUUUUCGCUUAGGUUUGUUCUUGCACUCAGGCGGUGGAAUUCUUCAAUGUACUCAGCUACUGUCCGGACACCUUGGCGGCAGUUUUGGUACUGAUUGUAUAAAGUUUGUUCGUAGUUUGGUGGUAAGAAUCUUGCCUUCAGCAAUUUUUUCAUCUUUUCCCAUGAGCGAACCGGUUGUUUCCCGCAUCUUUGUCUAUUGAUUUCUAACUGAUCCUACCAAGCUGAUGCACCAGCCCUUAAUUUUAAGGCUACCAGGUGGACUUUCUUGCGUUCAGGCGUAUCCAUGUAGUUGAAGAAGUUUUCAGUACUCUUUAUCCAGUCCGAGAAUGCUUCUAUGUUUCGUUUGCCAUCAUACAUGGGAAGGUCAAUCUUCAUCUUAUAAUCGUGGUAUUCUCCUCUUCUGGCCUCAAUUCUUCGGUUAUUUCUUCCUGCUCGUGCUUCAUCAUUGAAGUUCCACAUGUUUCCUUGUUCAUCCCCGCUUGAAGAAUCAUCUUCUUGGGUUUCUUGCCAAGCUUCUUGAUCUUCUUGAAAGUCUUCGUCAAGUUGUUGCUGUAUAGCGUAACCGGGUCUCCUUCUUUGAAGUCCUCGUGGGUUGUUCAUGUUUCUAAUGUAUCCCCUUGCUCGCCGGCCUCUUGCUUCACCAAAACGUUGGUCGUUUUGGAAGUUAAUUUCAUUCCGUGGUGGUGGCUGUGGGAAUUCUCCUCUUCGGUUUAACAGUUCGACACUUUCCAUCAACCUAUCAAAUUUGUUGUGGAGAUCUCCCAAAGAUUCUUCAACAGCCAGCAAGCGAACUGUUGAUGUCUUUGGAGAGAGGACGGUGAUUUCCUCCGCCGCUUCUUGCACACGGUUUUCCCCCGUGGCAGGGUUGUUAACUCUUCGGCCAGCCAUUCCGUCCAAGAAUCGGGGCUGCUCUGAUACCAAUUUGAUGUAAUUCAAGUUGGAUUGAUUUUUCAAAAGAAUUCUCUGCCAUAUUUCAGGCUAGGAGACUGUUAUAUAUUGAUAUCUCAAGGUUAGUUACAAGUUAGUUACAAGGUUGUUUUAUUUAGUUAGUUACAAGACUGUUUUAGGAAGUUAGUUACAGCUGUAUUUCUAAUUAGUUAGGGAUUUUUACUAACUAACUAGCUAUAGUUUACAUCAAAUAUACUAAUAGAUUUAUCAAAAAACAAAAAAAUAGGAAGUUAAAUAUUGUUUUUCAGAAACAAAUCUAUCAAAAUUGUGAUUAGGAAAGGAAUUGAAUCGUAGAGUACAACCUCUGCUGCUGGCCAUGGAAUGGUGUGUAAGCAAAUGCACCCGACCCAAUAUUUUUAAUGAUACAGGUAACAAAUCAUGGAAACCUUAUAAUGAUACAGGUAACAAACCUUUUCAAUUGAGGUUUAGAUGCAAAACAUCUAAUAUAGUUAAACAUUAUUUCGCCAAAGUUAGUCAUUAAACUCAAGUGAAUCAUAAAACAGAAAAAGAAUGUAGAUUUAAGAGGACUAUGUAAUAUAUCAACUAGGAAUGAAAUAGGCGAAGAUAAAAGCAAGUAUUAAGAAUAAAACAAAGCAUAACAAAAGAGGAAGGCCAGCUUACUAUUCAAAAAAGCAAAGGAGUUCCACAUCACUUGCAAGAUAGCAGUGGAACAUUGCUAUAGAACUAUCUUGGGAACUUUGGCAGAGUUGUGUUUGGAAAUUACAAUGAUGUUUAACAAUAAUAAAACUAUAACAUAAAUGUUUCAUAGUGUUGGAAGAAAUUUGUAAGGCCCCCUAUUAUCCAUACAUACAAAAGGAGGGGUAAAAACGUAAAAGCUCAGGCAGCAGAAAAGGGAGAAUAUUAGGAAAAGAACAUGAGAGUGGGUCCCACGGGGAAGAAUGAGAAAAGAGUUAUAAAUAAGGCCUUAUCGGGAUUGGGGGCUAGGUUAACUUCUUGUCUUCAUUUGGUCUAUAGAGGCUGCUAGGUCUAGGAAGGACUACUAUCUUUUCGUGGGGAGGUUUGACAUGAUGUUAUCAUCUUUAUUGCUUUCUUUUAUAUUUCCUUCUACUGUAUCUUUUGGCAUUUAUAUAUAAAUAAAGAUCUACAGAGUGCUGUCUCUGUUUGCCAACUGUUUGGGUAAUUUAGUAUUUUAUUUGUGGAGUCUCUACAACUGGUAUCAGAGCCCAAACGUUGGGGGUGGUGACGCGACUGAUGGCGCAAAGGCAAAUAGAAGAAAGAACAGCUGGAACAGAGAAAGAAAUACUGGGAUUGAAGGAAAUGAUUCUGGAAAUGAAGAAAUCCAUGGAUAGACUGGCUGAUGAAAUGAAAGAAAACAGCAGCUACAAAAGGCGAGAUGAAUCCGGAACUUCUGAUGGAUCAGUCAUGAAGUUAAAAGGAAAAUGGGAAGAAGCCGACAAUCCAGGGGAAAACAAUGUAGUAACUGUCGACCGAAGCAAAUAUAAGAAACUGGAAAUGCCGAUUUUCACCGGGAAAAUCCUGAGUCAUGGGUGUUUAGAGCUGAGCAUUUUUUCGAAAUUAAUAGCCUACCGGAAGCAGAAAAAGUGAAAGUAGCAGUGGUUAGUUUUGGACAAGAUGAAAUCGAUUGGUACCGUUGGAGUAACCAUAGAAAGAAGGUGGAAGGAUGGGAAGAUUUGAAGGUAAGGAUGUUUGAAUUUUUUCGAGAUUCUGGGCAGAAGAGCUUAGGUGCAAGGCUGAUUCGAAUAGAACAAGAUGGAUCCUAUAAUGAUUAUGUCAAGAAAUUUGUACAAUAUUCUGCACCACUACCGCACAUGGCUGAAAGCGUGCUCUUAGAUGCAUUCGUGACAGGUUUAGAAUCGGCUCUUCAAGCAGAAGUUAUUAGUAGACAUCCUCAAACCUUAGAGGAAUGUAUGAAGGACGCACAACUGGUAAGUGACAGAAACCUAGCCUUGAAAUUAGCCAAGGCAGAAUGAGUAAACAGUGUGACUAGGGAAGGAGGAGGCUCAAGCAAGGGACAAAGCAGUCAAGAUAAAAGUUCACCAAAGAAGACUGAGUUCCCCAUGAAGCAAGUCACUUUUCCCAUUAAAGGAAACUACCAGAAAAAUGAACCUCCAGUUAAAAGACUCUCGGACACGGAAUUCAGAGCAAGAUUGGACAAGGGUUUGUGUUUUAGAUGCAAUGAGAAGUACUCACCGGGACACCGAUGCAAGAUGAGAGAGAAAAGGGAAUUAAUGUUAUUUAUACUUAACGAAGAAGAGAGUGGCGGAGAGGAAGUCAAAAUGGAAGAGACCGAAGAAGUAAUGGAGCUGAACCAGUUAGUUGUUGCUGAAACCACCGAAAUUGAAUUGAAGACACUCACGGGGUUAACAUCCAAAGGGACAAUGAAACUGAAGGGGCAUGUAAAAGGAAGGGAGGUGGUGAUUCUCAUCGACAGUGGAGCUACGAACAACUUCAUCCAUGAAGCAGUGGCAAUGGUAGGAGGGUUGAACAUUGAACCCGGUACACAAUUUGGAGUGACUAUUGGAGACGGGACCCGCUGUAAAGGGAAAGGUAUUUGCAGAAAGGUGGAACUGAGAUUGAAAGAAACGACAGUUAUAACUGAUUUUCUAGUGGUGGAACUAGGAAAUAUUGACGUGAUUUUAGGGAUGCAAUGGCUAGAUACCACCGGCACAAUGAAGGUACAUUGGCCAUCAUUAACCAUGACCUUUUGGGCAAAAGACAAGCAAAUCGUGUUAAGAGGAGAUCCAUCCUUAGUGAAACCUGAAUGUUCUUUGAAGACAUUGGAAAAAACGUGGGAUAUAGAAGAUCAAGGCUUCCUCUUAGAAUUCCAGAAUUAUGAGAUGGAAGUAGAGAAUGAAUAUGAAAUGGGGACAAGAUUAAAAGGAGAUGAGGAGGAAAUACCUAUGAUCCGAUCCCUGCUCAAGUAUUAUGCGGAGAUAUUUGAGACACCUAAGAAAUUACCUCCAAAAAGAGCUAUUGAUCAUCGAAUAUUAACCCUACCUGACCAUAAACCUAUCAACGUAAGACCUUACAAAUACGGUCAUGUGCAGAAAGAAGAAAUAGAAAAACUGGUGGUCGAGAUGCUUCAAGCCGGGGUUAUUCGCCCUAGUCAUAGCCCUUACUCCAGCCCGGUGUUGUUAGUGAAGAAAAAAGAUGGUGGAUUGCGAUUUUGUGUCGAUUACCGCAAGUUAAAUCAGGCGACAGUAUCGGAUAACUUCCCAAUUCCUGUGAUAGAGGAAUUAUUAGAUGAGCUGAAUGGGGCAACGAUUUUCUCGAAAUUAGAUCUGAAAUCUGGUUAUCACCAGAUUAGAAUGAAAGAGGAAGAUGUGGAGAAAACUGCGUUCUGCACACAUGAAGGGCACUAUGAGUUUCUAGUAAUGCCGUUUGGUCUCACGAAUGCUCCGGCAACCUUCUAAUCUUUGAUGAACCGGUAUUUAAACCUUUCCUUCGGCGCUUUUGGUUUCUUUGAUGAUAUACUGGUUUAGCGGAUAUAGAUGAACACGCAAAGGAUUUGGGCAUGGUAUUCAAUGUUUUUAAGGAUAAGCAGCUGUUUGCUAACAAAAAAAAAAAAAGCGUUAUAGCCCAUUCUCAAAUACAGUACUUGGGACAUAUGAUAUCCAAAAGAGGAGUUGAGGCAGAUGAGGAUAAGAUCAAGAAGAUGAUUAAUUGGCCACCACCAACGAAUAUAUCUGGUCUGCGGGGCUUCUUAGGACUAACAGGAUAUUAUAGGAGGUUUGUCAAGGGUUAUGGAGAGAUCGCUGCACCGCUAACCAAGUUAUUACAGAAGAAUGCUUUUAAGUGGAAUGAAGAAGCAAAUACUGCCUUCGAAAAUUUGAAGCUAGCAAUGACUACUCUACCAGUGUUGGCAUUACCAGAUUGGAAAAUUCCCUUUAUUAUCGAAACUGAUGCAUCUGGCGUAGGGUUAGGAGCGGUGAUCUCUCAAAAUGGCCACCCGAUUGCCUUUUUCAGUCAGAAGUUAUCCACAAGGGCUCAAAACAAAUCCAUCUAUGAAAGAGAGUUGAUGGCUGUAGUUCUAUCAGUUCAGAAAUGGAGGCAUUAUUUGCUGGGCAGGAAGUUCACCAUACUUUCAGAUCAAAAGGCUCUUAAAUUCUUGCUUGAACAGAGAGAGGUACAACCCCAAUUCCAGAAAUGGUUGACAAAGCUCCUUGGAUAUGAUUUCGAGAUUUUAUAUCAACCCAGACUUCAGAACAAGGCAGCGGACGCCCUAUCUAGAAUGGAGCAACCGGUGGAGCUGCACAGCUUGACAACUACUGGAAUCAUUGAUGUGAAACUAAUCGAGCAGGAAGUUGAGAAUGAUGCUGAACUUAAGAAAAUUAUGGAAAAUCUGAAGAAAAAUGCAGAAGGAAGCAAGUUUCAAGUGGAAAAAGGAAGAUUGCUCUAUAAGGGGAGAAUGGUAGUAUCUCAAACUUCUACACUUAUACCCAAGAUCCUACAUACUUUCCACGAUUCUAUCCUCGGGGACAUUCUGGAUUUUUAAGAACUUACAAGAGGGUCAGUGGAGAACUAUAUUGGAGGGGUAUGAAGGCUGAAAUAAAGAAAUAUGUGGAACAAUGCGAGAUCUGCCAGAGAAACAAAUACGAAGCAACCAAACCAGCUGGGGUACUUCAACCAAUUCCAAUUCCUGACAGAAUCUUAGAAGAUUGGACCAUGGACUUUAUUGAGGGGUUGCCACUAGCUGGAGGGGUUAAUGUGAUCAUGGUGGUAGUUGAUCGGCUGAGUAAGUAUUCUUACUUUAUAUCAUUGAGACAUCCGUUUUCAGCCAAGCAAGUUGCUUCCAUAUUCAUCGACAAAAUAGUAAGCAAGCACGGCUGAUGGGAACUAUUCUAAAGACCUACUAGGCGAUUAUCCUAAGUAAUUUUGUCGAUUAUCACAGAUCGGGAUAAAAUCUUUCUUAGUAAUUUUUGGAAGGAACUGUUUGCAACUAUGGGAACUAUUCUAAAGAGGAGUACCGCGUUUCAGUCACAAACUGAUGGGCAGACAAAAAGGGUAAAUAGAUGUCUCGAAACUUAUCUGCGAUGUUUCUGUAAUGAACAACCAAAAAAAACGGGAUAAACUGAUUCUAUGGGCAGAAUUGUGGUAUAAUACCACCUUCCAUGCAUCCACCAAAAUGACCCCUUUCCAGACGGUAUACCGCAGACCGCCUCCUCCCCUGUUAUCCUAUGGUUACAAGAAAACUCCUAAUAAUGAGGUUGACACGCUGCUGAAGGAACGUGACUUAGCCAUCAAUGCCUUAAAAGAACACCUGUGUGUAGCCCAGAACAGGAUGAAGAAAAUGGCUGAUCGAAAUAGAUGAGAGUUAACAUUUAAGGUAGGAGAUGAAGUCUACUUGAAAUUGAGACCUUACCGGCAACACUCCUUGGCUCGGAAGAAGUGUGAAAAGUUAGCACCUAAAUAUUACGGACCCUACAAAAUUACUGAAGAAAUAGGAGCAGUUGCGUACAGAUUGAUGUUACCGCCGGAAGCCAGUAUCCACAAUGUGUUCCAUAUUUCUCAGUUAAAACUGAAACUGGGUAGUCAACAAGCUGUUCAAAGCCCAAGCCCUAAAAGCGCUAAGCGCUAAAAGCCUUAAAUCCUAAAACCUUAUUUAGGCUAUAUGUACCCCAAUAUUACAUCUUGCUCCUUAAAUUCAAAAUAUCGUUUGUACUACAAAGUGGGUCGCAUCCAUAGUUUCUCUAAAUAAGGUGUCCAACCUUUAUUCAUAUACUAUAGACUAUUUAGGCUAUAUGUCAAAACUUGAUCUACGUUUAUGUUUACACAUAAAGUUCAAGUUUAUUCAAAAAAUAGCCUUGGAACUUGAUUUAUUGGAUUUAGGAUUAUAAUAUUUUUCUCAAUAACAACUUUAUUGAAACAGAAUAUAAUCAAACUACGAGUUUUAGGACAAAAAAUUCCAACAAUUCUUACCCUUCUAAUAGACAUUAUGAUAUAAGUCUAUCAAAUUUUAUCUUGAGAAAAUCUAAAAUUUUGCCAUAUUAUUAUAAAUAUUUUAAUUUGUUUUGCUAUUUUUAAAAGUGACCUUACAUCAAAAACUAGACAAACCAAACAACAAAGCUAGAAAAAUAAUAAAUAAGAAUGUAAUAAAAAGAAACUAAACAGACGGCAAAAUGGUGAAAAUAUUUUGAACCAUCCAAGAAAAAUAAAUUACACAAGUAAAAAAAAAAAGAAAAAAAUUUUGAACCACACCAAGAGAUCAUAAACGGAAAAAGAAAAAAAUCAUCCACCAAAAGUAAAUAAAUAAAAUUUAAUUAUCUACUUUAAAAUAAAGUAGCAAAUGAUGAGAAGAAAAAUAAAAUGUACGAAGAAAAAGUAAACUAAAAAAUAAAUCCAUAAUGUAAAGGAAAAAUACCUUGAAAGCGCCCCAUGCAACAAACAAGGAAAGAAAGAAAGUAUUUGGUGCAAAUAAAACUACGAAAUGUACCAAAAUAAUAAUAUACAAGAAGUCAAACUAAAGAAUAUAAUGUAAUUUAAAGGUUUAACUAAGAGAACAAAAACUAAAUGGUUCUCGAAUUUGGAGCAUCGACAUGAGAUGUAACAAGAAAAAUUGAUUUUUCAACCAUCAAGUUUUCUUUAAUCACCUCAUAUCUUUCUAAGAUCAUAUUGGAUGUUAUACAACAAUUGCAAUUCACAUAGAAAUUCACGAAAAAGGUCAUAAAACAGAUCCCAUAAUGGUAAAGAGAGAAAUGAAUACAAAAGUAAAAAAUCACUCAUAUACCUGCGUCAAAUUGAGGAAAUGAUGAUUCCUAUAAACUACACCUCGGCAAACUUUUUCUCCUCCUUUUGCUUGAUUUUUCAAUGUUAGGAUUUUAAUGUUUAUUUCAUCAUCUAUAAUACUCCUGAAAGUAGCUUUCUAAUGAUAGAACAUUCAGCAUAUUGCAAAUAGAUAAUUAAAAGUGGUUUCGCAGUAGAAGUAUAGGAGUGUCUGUUAAAGUUCUACGAAAACCACAAAUGCGUAUAGUUCAAAAUAUGAAAGACAUGAAAAGGUUGCAAAAAGAUUGAGGACAAGAACGCAUACUCACAUAGAUAAUGAGCACAGAAUUACAAAGAACAUAAAUCAUGUAUGUCAGAGCCCAGAUUUCACUCUAAAUAAUCAUUGCCACACUUCAGAAUUACUUAUAACAACUAAUAACCAACUAUAAUAAUAUAAAAUCACUUCCAGACAUAACAACUAAUACAAAUUUUACCUGCAAAAGCAUCAAACAUUGUCUUGUAAGGUGUACCCCCUUCAUUUGCAGCAUCUGCCUUUUCUCAGUGCCCAAAGGAUAGAAAAACAUCAUUGUGGCUUAGCUAGGGAAGCCGAAAGCAAGGCUUUGAAUGUUUCAGUUACCCUUGUAUACACAAAAUUAUAGUCAAGGAACAUGGUAUUUAUUUUUAUUGAAUACAACACAAGAAAGAAAUAACGAGUGCCUAUAAGUCAAAAAUGCAAAAGUUCAUGGCAGGCAAUGGAAGGAGCUCUGCAGAAAAGGUCCGGUCCAAGACCCACUGUAGUAAGAUGUUAGCAUCCUUGAGGCAAUGUAGAAACCGAAAAAUUGUCCAUUAUUUGCAUAUGAAGAAUCUUUCAGCCAAUAUUACACAAUUGAUUGUUUUUUAAUUUUCAGAUAUAGGUAGGGCAAAAGUCAACAAACCUUGGAUGCUGUUUAAAAUCCAGGGUCAAGUACUGUCACGCAUGGCCUCAAAACAUCUAAAGAAAUUCUUUGGCUAAAUAUCAAUUUAUAUUCUUCAAUUUUGAGGGUUGUAUCAACUCAAACCCUAAACUAAUAAAUAUAUGAACCGAAAAAGAAAAGAGAACCAAGAGAAUAGAAUGGGCAAAAAAACAAAAAAUCACCCAUACGGCAAAAAUAAAUAACUUCUACCAAGAUAACAAAGAUAUAAAAUUUGACAAUCUACUCUACAAAAGUAGAAAAAUUCAAGAAAGAAGAAAAUGUUGAAAGAAAAACUAAAAGAAAAAUAAAUCCAUCAAAGGAAGUAAAAUAAAAAUACAUGUAAAGCGUCCAGUGCUAACAUAGAAAAAUCAAUCAGAAUUAGAAAUUAAUGAUAGUCAAAUAAUUACUGGACAUUGUAACAAAGAAGUUAUCCAUCGUUAUAAAAAAAACAUAUAAUUUUGUGCAAAUAAAACAUAGAAAUGUACCAAUAAUAAUAUACAAAGAAGUCAAACUAAAAUAUAAUAUAAUUCUGGAACAUAUAACUGAAGAUAGAAUGAGUGUUUAUAGACUUAAUUUCAAGAAAAAAAAAAUAGAAAAGCCAAACGGCAACCAUAGGGGGAUUUGGGUCGGGUGAUGAUGAAAUAGAAAAAAGUGAUUUUCGGACAAUCAGAUUUCCUUUAAUCACCUAAGAUUUUUCUAAAUUGAUAAAUGUUAUACAACGAUUGCAAUUUAUAUAGAAAUUUACAAGAAAAGUUAUAGAACAGAUCCAAUAAUUAUGAAGAGAUACAUGUAAGAUAGAGAAUAAUACACAAAAGUGAAAAUUCACUCUUAAAUAUUAUUUAAACAGGGAAUUUAUUAUGCAAAAUCUACAUUGGAGAGAAAAUGUGUUUUUUAUAAAUUGAAAAUGUGUUUCAGGAAGAGUUUUUUAAAGAGAAAAAAGAGAAGAAAAUUAAGACAAUAUUAUGUAAGGGGCCUUUUAAAGUUUGUUUGACCGCCUGUGCCACAAUGGCACCAAGGCUGUGUCUUCCAUGCAUCGAUUGUAUGCUGUCUUGCUCGUGGAAUAUACUGACAGUUCAAUGAAAUGCCUUUUUUCAUUCUAAAAGAAAAGUUGACGACAAAAGUUCAAGAAAAUAUUCUGAAACGAGUUUACAAACAAAAUUUGAAGUGAGAAAACUUUUAGAAAAUGUUAUUGAAUAGGCCUUUUAAACUAAAAUUUUGACCUGUGAGUGACCAACACCCUUGCUCUUUCAAUUUUUCGAAAGUUUUAUGAAAUGUAUUCUUUUUGAAAGAAAAAAAGGAAAACAAAAGUUCAAGAAAUAUUUUGGAAAGAGAUUGUGAACAGGAUUCGAAGUAAGAAAACUUUUAGAAAAUGCUUUUGGAUAGACCUUUAAACAAGAGAUUUUGCAAAUAUCUAUGUAUAUAAACACACAUAUAUACAUAUGUUCUGAAAAGAGUUUCUAGAAGAAAAGAGGAAGAAAAAAAGUUUGCUAAAUGUUUUGUAAAUGACAUUUGAAAGUUUGCUUCCACAUGUGCAAAGAUGGCACCAAGACAACAUCUUCCGCGCACCGUGUGCAUGUUGCCUUGUUGCUCAUUGCCCUGUGUGUUGUGGCCAACACCCUUGCUCAUGCGGUUUUCGGAAAGUUUUGUGAAAUGUUUUCUUUUUUAGAACAAAAAAACAAAAAGGAAGACAAAAGUUCAAGAAAUAUUUUGGAAAGAGUUCGAAAACAGAAUUUGAAUCGAGAAAACUUUUUAGAAAAUUCUUUUGAUUAGACCUUUCAAAAAAGAAAUUUUGCAAAUAUCUAUGUAUAUAAACACACAUAUAUACAUAUGUUUUGAAAAGAGUUUCUAGAAGAAAAGAGGAAGAAAAAAAAAGUUUGCAAUGAUGUUUUGUAAAUGACACUUGAAAGUUUGCUUCCACAUGUGCAAAGAUGGCACCAAGACAACAUCUUCCGCGCACCGUGUGCAUGUUGCCUUGUUGCUCAUUGCCCUGUGUGUUGUGGCCAACACCCUUGCUCAUGCGGUUUUUUGAAAGUUUUGUGAAAUGUUUUCUUUUUUAGAACAAAAAACAAAAACAAAAAGGAAGACAAAAGUUCACGAAAUAUUUUGGAAAGAGUUCGAAAACAGAAUAUGAAUCGAGAAAACUUUUAGAAAAUUCUUUUGAAUAGACCUUUCAAACAAGAGAUUUUGCAAAUAUCUAUGUAUAUAAACACACAUAUAUACAUAUGUUCUGAAAAGAGUUUCUAGAAGAAAAGAGGAAGAAAAAAAGUUUGCUAAAUGUUUUGUAAAUGACAUUUGAAAGUUUGCUUCCACAUGUGCAAAGAUGGCACCAAGACAACAUCUUCCGCGCACCGUGUGCAUGUUGCCUUGUUGCUCAUUGCCCUGUGUGUUGUGGCCAACACCCUUGCUCAUGCGGUUUUUUGAAAGUUUUGUGAAAUGUUUUCUUUUUUAGAACAAAAAAACAAAAACAAAAAGGAAGACAAAAGUUCAAGAAAUAUUUUGGAAAGAGUUCGAAAACAUAAUUUGAAUCGAGAAAACUUUUAGAAAAUUCUUUUGAAUAGACCAUUCAAACAAGAAAUUUUGCAAAUACCUAUGUAUAUAAACACACAUAUAUACAUAUGUUCUGAAAAGAGUUUCUAGAAGAAAAGAGGAAGAAAAAAAAAAUUUGCAAUGAUGUUUUGUAAAUGACAUUUGAAAGUUUGCUUCCACAUGUGCAAAGAUGGCACCAAGACAACAUCUUCCGCGCACCGUGUGCAUGUUGCCUUGUUGCUCAUUGCCCUGUGUGUUGUGGCCAACACCCUUGCUCAUGCGGUUUUUUGAAAGUUUUGUGAAAUGUUUUCUUUUUUUGGAACAAAAAACAAAAACAAAAAGGAAGACAAAAGUUCACGAAAUAUUUUGGAAAGAGUUCGAAAACAGAAUAUGAAUCGAGAAACUUUUAGAAAAUUCUUUUGAAUAGACCUUUCAAACAAGAGAUUUUGCAAAUAUCUAUGUAUAUAAACACACAUAUAUACAUAUGUUCUGAAAAGAGUUUCUAGAAGAAAAGAGGAAGAAAAAAAGUUUGCUAAAUGUUUUGUAAAUGACAUUUGAAAGUUUGCUUCCACAUGUGCAAAGAUGGCACCAAGACAACAUCUUCCGCGCACCGUGUGCAUGUUGCCUUGUUGCUCAUUGCCCUGUGUGUUGUGGCCAACACCCUUGCUCAUGCGGUUUUCUGAAAGUUUUGUGAAAUGUUUUCUUUUUUAGAACAAAAAAACAAAAACAAAAAGGAAGACAAAAGUUCAAGAAAUAUUUUGGAAAGAGUUCGAAAACAGAAUUUGAAUCGAGAAAACUUUUUAGAAAAUUUUUUGAUUAGACCUUUCAAAAAAGAAAUUUUGCAAAUAUCUAUGUAUAUAAACACACAUAUAUACAUAUGUUCUGAAAAGAGUUUCUAGAAGAAAAGAGGAAGAAAAAAAAAGUUUGCAAUGAUGUUUUGUAAAUGACAUUUGAAAGUUUGCUUCCACAUGUGCAAAGAUGGCACCAAGACAACAUCUUCCGCGCACCGUGUGCAUGUUGCCUUGUUGCUCAUUGCCCUGUGUGUUGUGGCCAACUCCCUUGCUCAUGCGGUUUUUUGAAAGUUUUGUGAAAUGUUUUCUUUUUUAGAACAAAAAACAAAAACAAAAAGGAAGACAAAAGUUCACGAAAUAUUUUGGAAAGAGUUCGAAAACAGAAUAUGAAUCGAGAAAACUUUUAGAAAAUUCUUUUGAAUAGACCUUUCAAACAAGAGAUUUUGCAAAUAUCUAUGUAUAUAAACACACAUAUAUACAUAUGUUCUGAAAAGAGUUUCUAGAAGAAAAGAGGAAGAAAAAAAGUUUGCUAAAUGUUUUGUAAAUGACAUUUGAAAGUUUGCUUCCACAUGUGCAAAGAUGGCACCAAGACAACAUCUUCCGCGCACCGUGUGCAUGUUGCCUUGUUGCUCAUUGCCCUGUGUGUUGUGGCCAACACCCUUGCUCAUGCGGUUUUCUGAAAGUUUUGUGAAAUGUUUUCUUUUUUAGAACAAAAAAAACAAAAACAAAAAGGAAGACAAAAGUUCAAGAAAUAUUUUGGAAAGAGUUCGAAAACAGAAUUUGAAUCGAGAAAACUUUUAGAAAAUUCUUUUGAAUAGACCUUUCAAACAAGAAAUUUUGCAAAUAUCUAUGUAUAUAAACACACAUAUAUACAUAUGUUCUGAAAAGAGUUUCUAGAAAAAAGAGGAAGAAAAAAAAAGUUUGCAAUGAUGUUUUGUAAAUGACAUUUGAAAGUUUGCUUCCACAUGUGCAAAGAUGGCACCAAGACAACAUCUUCCGCGCACCGUGUGCAUGUUGCCUUGUUGCUCAUUGCCAUGUGUGUUGUGGCCAACACCCUUGCUCAUGCGGUUUUUUGAAAGUUUUGUGAAAUGUUUUCUUUUUUAGAACAAAAAAAAAAACAAAAAGGAAGACAAAAGUUCACGAAAUAUUUUGGAAAGAGUUUGAAAACAGAAUAUGAAUCGAGAAAACUUUUAGAAAAUUCUUUUGAAUAGACCUUUCAAACAAGAGAUUUUGCAAAUAUCUAUGUAUAUAAACACACAUAUAUACAUAUGUUCUGAAAAGAGUUUCUAGAAGAAAAGAGGAAGAAAAAAAAAGUUUGCUAAAUGUUUUGUAAAUGACAUUUGAAAGUUUGCUUCCACAUGUGCAAAGAUGGCACCAAGACAACAUCUUCCACGCACCGUGUGCAUGUUGCCUUGUUGCUCAUUGCCCUGUGUGUUCUGGCCAACACCCUUGCUCAUGCGGUUUUCUGAAAGUUUUGUGAAAUGUUUUCUUUUUUAGAACAAAAAAACAAAAACAAAAAGAAAGACAAAAGUUCAAGAAAUAUUUUGGGAAGUGUUCGAAAACAGAAUAUGAAUCGAGAAAACUUUUAGAAAAUUCUUUUGAAUAGACCUUUCAAACAAGAGAUUUUGCAAAUAUAUAUAUAUAUAUACAUAUGUGUAUAUACAUAUGUUCUGGAAAGAGUUUCUAGAAGAAAAGAGAAGAAAAAAUCUGCUGGAAAGACCUUUUAGAAAAGUGUUCUGUCAUUAUAUGAUUAGUAAGAUGGAUAAAGUUAGUGCACACCUUCACAUAAAAGAAGAUUAUGUAAUCAUAUCGAAUAAACAGUUAUGUAGUUCUUCAUCCUCCUAAAACCACAAUUACUCAGACAGUAACAAUGUUAUUGAAGGUAAAUCAACCUUAAUAAACUGGGAAACACAAGGAAGUUGUGUGAUUGUGUAAGUUGGUUAUGAACUUAUCACCUACAUGUCAGAAAGAGUAUUUGGUAAUGAUGCCAAAAGAAACAUUAGAAAAGUAAAAUGACAUUACCUAUAAAAGUUCACAUAAAUGCACGAUUAAAAAGAAUUGCAUUUAACAGAACCUAACUUAAAGCUCACAAGCAAAAAUUCAAAAGUGGAACAGUUGUACCUUUUGCUUCGGUCAAGUCUUGCUCCAAAAUAGAAAGCCACAGAGAGCAAACAGGAAUCACCAUGUACAGCAACAAGAGGUCGCCAAUAUUUUCUGUCCAUGCCAUCUGUUGCAAAAUUAAUUCCAAGUGCAGGCUCUAGAAGCUCCGGUGGAACCUCUGCCUACUGGAAGAACCAUUUCCCAUGUUUCAUUAGGAUGUCCAUACAGACAAAAAAUUUCCUCACCUGAAAAAGUAGUAAUCAAAGUUUAAAAUAUAUGAGAAGCUUCGUCAUAAAACGAUAGUAAAUCCCAACUCUCAGAGAAGAAUUGAAAUAGAAAACCGAUCCUGGUACACACCAGUUACUGUCUAAUUAAAAUAAACGUAAGUCGGUAAGUGUAUUUGAAAACAAUUCCAGGAUCUCGAAUUCAAGGAAAAAACAUUAAAUCUGAAGCAACUCCCAAUCCUUUGUCACUAAAAGAGACUAGAAUAUAAUACCUCUACUCAUUAUCUCGUUUAAAUUCGCCAGAAAUUAACAGUAAAUAUCAUUUAUUAAAAAAAAAUCAUCUAGAUAAAAACGCUGCAGAAAUUAUAAAAAUUGAACACUUCGAAUUCAAGAAACAAACAUUUAAUCUGAAUCAAUUGCCAAUACUAUGUAAUCAAAAGUGAUUAGGAAACAAUACGCAUCAAAAGCUUGUCAAACGAGCCCUAAAUUUGACAUUUAGCGAAAAACAGUAAAAAAAAAAAAAAGACACGAAGCAAAAACGAUGUAGAAAGAUAGUGCCCAGAAUUUAGAAAGCCGCAUCACCUGAAUCACAAAGGCCGUAGAAUUCACAAACGUCUGAUAAUGAGAAGAAGAAAAGGAAAAGGAAAAGGAAAAUCAGUAUUAGGGUUCAGAGGUUAGACCAGCGUGCACUGAGGCGGAAAAAGAAAAUUCUGGAGAAAAUUGGUUUGCGAUGGAGGUUAUCUGUAAAGUUAAAUAAUGAAGUAAGUAAACCUAAAAAUGUAGCCGUUGGAUGCCGUUGACGCCAUUAAGUUUCAAACUAAGACAGCUGGCUAAAGCUUUAUUAUAAUUAAUCUUUCCAUUAAACCGCACUGAGUACUCACCCAUACCAUUUAUAAAAAUAAAUAAAAAAGGAUGUUGUAAAUUACAAUGCAAUGUAAAUGACAUUAUAAAUUAAAUAAUAAUGUAGCAAUUUACCAACUCUUAUUUACACAGAAUAAUUUAUGCUUUUUUUAAUGUAUUAACGUGAAUUUUUUAAAUUUUAGAAAAAUGAAAAUCAAAUUGAGCUAUAUAUAAUAUUUUUGUGAAAUUUUCUAUUUUUGACCAUUGCUCUAAAAAAAAUUUUAUAGUCUACUAGUAUUUGUAAGAUAACAAUAAAUUGAAAAAAAAUUAUAUACUUAUAAUUUUUUAGUUUUAAUAAUUUAUUUAUUUUAAUAUUAUAUUUCUCCAAUAUUUGUGUUUAACCUUCCCUAGUUUAUUAUAAAUCAUAAAAUAUUCUAGUAUUAUAAUUAUAACAAAUAUUUAACCUAAAACAUGUUUAUAAAUAAAUUUGUUGUCCAUUAAUAUUUAGGGAGUAACAUCCACUAAUUUAAUCAUUUAUAAAUAUAAUAUCAAACACAUUAUAAACAACUUAACUGAAUGAGAAAAAAGUAUUAAAAUAUCAGCCCUAAUCCCUAAAAGCCCUAAGCGCCCAAAAAGCCCUAAGAGCACUAAAAGCCCUAAAAGCCAAAGAGCCCAAAGCCCGAGCCUUAAAAGCCCAAGCCCUAAUCCCUAAGCCCUAAGCCAAAGGCCCUAAGCCCUAAAAGCCCUAAAAGCUCCAAAAGCCCUAAAUGUCCUAAAAGCCCUAAAAUCCCUUAUCCCUAAAUACCCUUAAAGCCCUUAAAGCCCUAAGCUCUAAGCCCUAAGCCCUAAAAGCGCUAAGCCCUAAAAGCCCUAAGCCAUAAUCCCUAAAAGCCCUAAGCCCUAAAACCUAAAAGCCCUAAGCGCCCUAAAAUCCCUAAAAGCCUAAGCGCCCUAAACCCUAAACCCUAAACCCCUAAACCCUAUACCCUAAACCCUAAAGCCAUAAGCCCUAAAAGCCCUAAAAGCGCUAAAAGCCCUAAGUCAUAAGCCCAAAAAGCCCUAAGCCCUAAAAACCCAAACCCCAAACCACUUGUAGCCAAGUUUCUUCAUGGAAGAUUGCUUGCAAAGAUCCCAAGUUUGGUUAUAUUUCAUUUCCUUUUAUUCCUACAAAAAGAAAACAAGAAUUUCCAUCGAAUUUUAUUAAAUAGGUUAAACUAAAAUUUUUAGAAAAAUGAGCGGAAUUGUUUAAGCUCGGUUGCAUUUUCUAAGUAUCACUUGAAUUAUCAAAACGACCUAACAAAUAUUCAAUACAAGUUCAUAAGUCAUAACCUAGCAAAAAGUUCAAAAUUUUUGAAAAAAAACUACAAGACCCAAAAUGGCAACCAAGUGUGUAAAUGCAACGAACUUAGUUCAAACCAACCAAAACGUGCUCAAAACGUGUCUAGCUAUUACUUGAGUUUUCAAAACGACCUAGCAAAUCCUAAGUGUAAGUUCGUAACUCAUAAUCUACCAAAAAGUUUGAAAAAAAGCAUUUCAAGAGCAAAAAUGACAACCAAGUGCAACAAACUCAAUCUAACCUAAAAUGUAUUCAAAACGUGUGUAACUAUCACUUGAAUUUUCAAAACGACCAGCAAUGCUUAAGUGUAAGUUUGUAACUCACAACCUACCAAAAUUUCAAAAAGUGUGAAAAAAGUACUUCAAGACCCAACAUGUCAAUCAAAUGUGUUUAAAACUUAGUUUCAAACCAACCUAAAACGAGUUCAAAACGUGUCUAAGUAUCACUUGAACUUUCAAAACGACCUAAAAAGCUUAGUGUAGGUUCAUUACUCAAAACCUACGAAAAAAUUUCAAAUAUUGUGAAAAAAGCACUACAAGACCCAAAAUGGCAACCAAGUGUGUAAGUGCAACAAACUUAGUGCAAACAACCUAAAACGUGCUCAAAACGUGUCUAUGUAUUACUUGAGUUUUCAAAACGACCAAGCAAAUCCUAAGUGUAAGUUCGUAACUCAUAAUCUACCAAAAAGGUUGAAAAAAGCAUAUCAAGACAAAAAAUGACAACCAAGUGCAACCAACUCAAUCUAACCUAAAAUGUAUUCAAAACGUGUGUAAGUAUCACUUGAAUAUUCAAAACUACCAAGCAAUGCUUAAGUGUAAGUUUGUAACUCACAACCUACCAAAAUUUCAAUAUGUGUGAAAAAAGUACUUCAAGACCCAGCAUGUCAAUCAAAUGUGUUUAAAACAUAGUUUGAAACCAAUCUAAAACGAGUUCAAAACGUGUCUAAGUUUCACUUCAACUUUCAAAACGACCUAAAACAGCUUACGUGUAGAUUCAUAACUCAUAACUUACGAAAAAAGUUCAAAUAGUGUGAAAAAAGCACUACGAGACCCAAAAUGGCAACCAAGUGUGCAAGUGCAACAAACUUAGAUCAAACCAACCUAAAACAUGAUCAAAACGGGGCUAGGUAUUACUUGAGUUUUAAAAAUGACCUAGCAAAUCCCAAGUGUAAGUUCGUAACUCAUAAUCUACCAAAAAGGUUGAAAAAAGCAUUUCAAGACCAAAAAUGACCAUCAAGUGCAACAAAUCAAUCUAACCUAAAAUCUAAUCAAAACGUGUGUAAGUAUCACUUGAAUUUUCAAAACCACCAAGUAAUGCUUAAGUGUAAGUUUGUAACUCACAACCUACCAAAAUUUCAAAAAGUGUGAAAAAAGUACUUCAAGACCCAACAUGUCAAUCAAAUGUGUUUAAAAGUUAGUUUCAAACCAACCUAAAACAUGUUCAAAAGUGUCUAAGUUUCACUUCAACUUUCAAAACAACCUAAAACAGCUUACGUGUAGAUUCAUAACUCAUAACUUACGAAAAAAGUUCAAAUAGUGUGAAAAAAGCACUACAAGACCCAAAAUGGCAACUAAGUGUGUAAGUGCAACAAACUUAGUUCAAACCAACCUAAAACAUGCUCAAAACGUGUCUAGGUACUACUUGAGUUUUCAAAACGACCUAGCAGAUCCUAAGUGUAAGUUCGUAACUCAUAAUGUACCAAAAAGGUUGAAAAAGCAUUUCAAGACCAAAAAUGACCAUCAAGUGCAACAACUCAAUCUAACCUAAAAUGUAAUCAAAACGUGUGUAAGUAUCACUUGAAUUUUCAAAACGACCAAGUAAUGCUUAAGUGUAAGUUUGUAACUCACAACCUACCAAAAUUUCAAAAAGUGUGAAAAAAGUACUUCAAGACCCAACAUGUCAAUGAAAGUGUUUAAAAUUUAGUUUCAAACAAACCUAAAACGAGUUCAAAACGUGUCUAAGUUUCACUUGAACUUUCAAAACGACCUAAAACAGCUUACGUGUAGAUUCCUAACUGAUAACUUACGAAAAAAGUUCAAAUAGUGUGAAAAAAGCACUACAAGACCCAAAAUGGCAACCAAGUGUGUAAGGGCAACAAGCUUAGUUCAAACCGACCUAAAACAUGCUCAAAACGUGUCUAGGUAGUACUUGAGUUUUCAAAACGAUCUAGCAAAUCCUAAGUGUAAGUUCGUAACUCAUAAUCUACCAUAAAGGUUGAAAAAGGCAUUUCACGACCAAAAAUGACAACCAAGUGCAACAAACUCAAUCUAACCUAAAAUGUAUUCAAAACGUGUGUAAGUAUCACCUGAAUUUUCAAAACGACCAAGCAAUGCUUAAGUGUAAGUUUGUAACUCACAACCUACCAAAAUUUCAAAAAGUGUGAAAAAAGUACUUCAAGACCCAACAUGUCAAUGAAAUGUGUUUAAAACAUAGUUUGAAACCAAUCUAAAACGGGGGAUCUCGGCGCGCAUUUUACUUGACGUAAGCGGCUCGCUUGGCUCCCUCUUUUUUUUUUCUCUCCCUCUCUACCGGCUGCCAUGAUGGGUGAAGAACUCUAAGGACCUACUGGCGGGGUCGGGUUUUGCUUAGGCAAGAAAAGCGGAGAGGAUCCCCACGAAAAUUCUGAAACCGGGGGAUCUCGGCGCGCAUUUUACUUGACCUAAGCGGCUGGCUUGGCUCCCUCUUUUUUUUUCUCUCUCCCUCUCUACCGGCUGCCAUGCUGGGUGAAAAACUCUAAGGACCUACUAGGCGGGUCGGGUUUUGCUUAGGCAAGAAAAGCGGAGCGGAUCCCCACGAAAAUUCUGAAACGGGGAUCUCGGCGCGCAUUUUACUUGACCUAAGCGGCUGGCUUGGUUCCCUUUUUUUUUUCUCUCUCCCUCUCUACCGGCUGCCAUGCUGGGUGAAAAACUCUAAGGACCUACUAGGCGGGUCGGGUUUUGCUUAGGCAAGAAAAGCGGAGAGGAUCCCCACGAAAAUUCUGAAACCGGGGGAUCUCGGCGCGCAUUUUACUUGACCUAAGCGGCUGGCUUGGCUCCCUCUUUUUUUUUCUCUCCCUCUCUACCGGCUGCCAUGCUGGGUGAAAAACUCUAAGGACCUACUAGGCGGGUCGGGUUUUGCUUAGGCAAGAAAAGCGGAGAGGAUCCCCACGAAAAUUCUGAAAUCGGGGGAUCUCGGCGCGCAUUUUACUUGACCUAAGCGGCUGGCUUGGUUCCCUCUUUUUUUUCUCUCUCCCUCUCUACCGGCUGCCAUGCUGGGUGAAAAACUCUAAGGACCUACUAGGCGGUCGGGUUUUGCUUAGGCAAGAAAAGCGGAGAGGAUCCCCACGAAAAUUCUGAAACCGGGGAUCUCGGCGCGCAUUUUACUUGACCUAAGCGGCUGGCUUGGUUCCUCUUUUUUCUCUCCCUCUACCGGCUGCCAUGCUGGGUGAAAACUCUAAGGACCUACUAGGGGGGUCGGGUUUUGCUUAGGCAAGAAAAGCGGAGAGGAUCCCCACGAAAAUUCUGAAACCGGGGGAUCUCGCGCGCAUUUUACUUGACCUAAGCGGCUGGCUUGGCUCCCUCUUUUUUUUCUCUCCCCUCUCUACCGCUGCCAUGCUGGGUGAAAAACUCUAAGGACCUACUAGGCGGGUCGGGUUUUGCCUUAGGCAAGAAAAGCGGAGAGGAUCCCCACGAAAAUUCUGAAACCGGGGGAUCUCGGCGCGCAUUUUACUUGACCUAAGCGGCUGGCUUGGUUCCCUCUUUUUUUUCUCUCUCCUCUCUACCGGCUGCCAUGCUGGGUGAAAAACUCUAAGGACCUACUAGGCGGGUCGGGUUUUGCUUCGGCAAGAAAAGCGGAGAGGAUCCCACGAAAAUUCUGAAACCGGGGGAUCUCGGCGCGCAUUUUACUUGACCUAAGCGGCUGGCUUGGCUCCCUCUAUUUUUUUUCUCUCCCUCUCUACCGGCUGCCAUGAUGGGUGAAGAACUCUAAGGACCUACUAGGCGGGUCGGGUUUUGCUUAGGCAAGAAAAGCGGAGAGGAUCCCACGAAAAUUCUGAAACGGGGGAUCUCGGCGCGCAUUUUACUUAACCUAAGCGGCUGGCUUGGCUCCCUCUUUUUUUUCUCUCUCCUCUCUACCGGCUGCCAUGCUGGGUGAAAAACUCUAAGGACCUACUAGGCGGGUCGGGUUUUGCCUAGACAAGAAAAGCGGAGAGGAUCCCCACGAAAAUUCUGAAACCGGGGGAUCUCGGCGCGCAUUUUACUUGACCUAAGCGGCUGGCUUGGUUCCCUCUUUUUUUUCUCUCUCCCUCUACCGGCUGCCAUGCUCGGUGAAAAACUCUAAGGACCUACUAGGCGUGUCGGGUUUUGCUUAGGCAAGAAAAGCGGAGAGGAUCCCCACGAAAUUUCAAAACAGGGGGAUCUCGGCGCUCAUUGAUUAACUCAUUGUUAAGAUUAUGUUAGGUAUAUUUCGAUUUCACACUAAGCCAAAAAAUUCAAGAGCGAUAAAUUUUAAAAUUUGGGGAUAGGGAUCAACAAGUUAUUGAAAAUUUUUUCCUCGCCAAGUAGAAUUGCUUUAUCAAUGAUUCGGUGAAUGUAUAUAUGUUCAGUUCGUGUGUGUACAUGUAUGAAUCAAAUUCAUUUCGUUAGGAUGGGGAUCAUCAAUUUAAUUAGGGAUCGGUCUUAUGAUAAAACAAUUCAUUGCAUUGAUCAAAUCCAAUAUAAAACCAUUUUACCUAUACUCAUUAGAUAAAUCCAGUUCCUCAAUGAGCCCUAAGCCCUAAAAGCCUAAGCCUUAAGCCCUAAGCCCUAAGUCCUAAGCGCCCUUAGCGCUGUAAAAGCCCUAAAAGUCCUAAAAGCGCAAAGCACAAGCCCUAAACCCUAAAAUCCCAAAAGCCCAAAGCACAAGCCUUAAAAGCCCAAACCCUAAUCCCUAAAAGACCUAAAAGCCCUAAGCGCCCUAAGCCCUAAAACCUAAAAGCCCUAAGCGUCGUAAAAGCCCUAAAAGCCCUAAAAGGCCAAAGCCAAGCCCUAAGCCCUAAAAUCUCAAGCCCUAAGUCAUAAGCCAAAACCCCUAAGCCCUAAAAGCCCUAAGCCCUAAACGACUUAAGCGCCCUAAAAGCCCUAAACGCCCUAAAAGCCCAAAGCCCAAGCCCUAAAAACCCAAGCCCUAAAAGCCCAAGCCCUAAGCCAUCAGCCCUAAGCCCUACAAGCCCUAAGCUCUAAGCAAUAAAAGCACAAGAACUAAGCCCUAAACCCUAAACCCUAAACCCUAAACCCUAAGCCCUAAGCCCUGAGCCCUCAGCCCUAAGGCCUAAGCCCUAAGGCCUCAGCCCUAAAAGCCCUAAGGCCUCAGCCCUAAAAGCCCUAAAAGUCGUAAAAGCCGUAAAAGCCGUAAAAGCCCUAAGCCCUAAGCGCUAAGCCUAAAAGCCAUAAGCCCUAAAAGCCUAAGCUACAACCUAAAAGCCCUAAGGUCCUAAAAGCCCUAAGCGUCCUAAAAGCCUAAAGCCCUAAGCCCUACAACCUAAAAGCCUAAGCGUCCUAAAAGCCCUAAGCGUCCUAAAAGCCUAAGCCCUAAACGCCAAAGCCCAAGCCCUAAAAGCCCUAAAAGCCUAAGCCCUAAGCCCUAAGCCCUAAAAGCCCAAAAAGCCCUAAAAGCCCUAAAAGCCGAAAAGCCCAAAAGCCCGAAAAGCCAAAGCCCAAAGCCUUAAAAGUCAUAAGCCCUAAGCCCUAAGCCCUAAGCCACUAAACCCUAAGCCCUAAGCCCUGAGCCCUGAGCCCUCAGCCCUAAGGCCUAAGCCCUAAGGCCUCAGCCCUAAAAGCCCUAAAAGUCGUAAAACCCGUAAAAGCCCUAAGCCCUAAGCGCUAAGCCCUAAAAGCCAUAAGCCCUAAAAGCCCUAAGCCCUACAACCUAAAAGCCCUAAGCGUCCUAAAAGCCCUAAACGCCCAAAGCCCAAGCCUAAAAGCCCUAAAAGCCUAAGCCCUAAGCCCUAAGCCCUAAAAGCCCAAAAAGCCCUAAGCCCUAAAAGCUAAAAGCCAUAAGCGCCCUAAAAGCCCUAAAAGGCCUAAAAGCCCUAAAAGCCCUAAAAGCCCUAAAAGCCCUAAAAGCCAAAGCCCUAAGCCUUAAGAGUCAUAAGCCCUAAGCGCCCAAAAAGCCCUAAGAGCACUAAAAGUCCUAAAAGCCCAAAGAGCCCAAAGCCCGAGCCCUAAAAGCCCAAGCCCUAAUCCCUAAGCCCUAAAAGCCCUAAAAGCCCCAAAAGCCCUAAAUGCCCUAAAAGCCCUAAAAUCCCUUAUCCCUAAAUACCCUUAAAGCCCUUAAGGCCCUAAGCCCUAAGCCCUAAGCCCUAAAAGCGCUAAGCCCUAAGCCAUAAUCCCUAAAAGCCCUAAGCCCUAAAACCUAAAAUCCCUAAGCGCCCUAAAAUCCCUAAAAGCCUAAGCGCCCUAAACCCUAAACCCUAAACCCCUAAACCCUAUACCCUAAACCCUAAAGCCAUAAGCCCUAAAAGCCCUAAGCCCUAAAACCUAAAAGCCCUAAGCGCCCUAAAAGCCCUAAGCCAUAAGCCCAAAAAGCCCUAAGCCCUAAAAACCCAAACCCCAAACCACUUGUAGCCUAGUUUCUUCAUGGAAGAUUGUUUGCAAAGAUCCCAAGUUUGGUUAUAUUUCAUUUCUUUUAUUCCUACAAAAAGAAAACAAGAAUUUCCAUCGAAUUUUAUUCAAUAGGUUAAACUAAAAAUUUUAGAAAAAUGAGCGGAAUUGUUUAAGCUCGGUUGCAUUUUCUAAGUAUCACUUGAAUUAUCAAAACGACCUAACAAAUAUUCAAUACAAGUUCAUAAGUCAUAAACUAGCAAAAAGUUCAAAAUUUUUUAAAAAGACACUCCAAAACCCAAAAUGUCAAGUGUGUAAGUGCAACGAAGUUCUAUACAAACCUAACAAGUAUUCAAAACACGUAUAAGUUUUCAAGCAACCUAACAACGCUUAAGUGUAAGUUUAUAACUCAUAACUUACCAAAAAUUUCAAAAAGUGUGAAAAAAAAUCUUUCAAGACUCAAAAUGGCAACCAUGGCUGUAUGUAAAACUAACUUAGUUUGUAACAACCUAAAAGGUGUUCAAAAAAUGUUUAAGUAUCACUCGAACUUUAAAAAACGACCUAAUAAUGCUUUAGUCUUACUUCAUAAAUCAUAACCUACCAAAAUGUUCAAAAAAUGUAGAAAAAGCACUCCAAAAUCCAAAAUGGCAACCAAGUGUGUAAGUGCAACAAACUUAGUCUCAACUUUAAAAUUAGUGCGAGUUGAGAAAUGUAUUAACUCAAGCAUGAUGUACAAACUUGAAACAACUUAAAUAUUUAUUCACCAUCACAUAAAAACAGUAAUUAAAUAUAGAUAACAUGUGUAAAUAAAGGGAGAAUCACCUUUCUAGCAGUAGCUUUUGAGUAAGACCAAACACCAUCCUCCUACUUGUAAAUCUGCUCGAUUGUCUACUUUGUUCUACACUCGUCAUUUCACCGUCUCAGGCCAUCCAUUGAAUUGGCCACCCAGCCUUGGCAUACAAGAGUAUGUCUCAGCACUGUUAACAAAAUACCACUAAAACUAAGCAAGACAAAAAAAGUUUUCAAAAAAUUACCUAACUUUUAGGUUUUCAUGUGACCUUUAAGUUCUUCUGUCUUCUCCUUCAACUCUUUGACAGAUUGAUGAAAAUAUUUGUGUUCUGCAAUGUUUACCAGAACAUGAAAGAUUCAUACGAAAAUAAAUACCAUGAAUACAAACCAUGAAGAAAUAGUAAAACAGUCAAUACAAGAAGAAAAAAGUUCACUUCAAAAACGACCUAAAACAGUAUCACUUGAACAAAAUGUGUCUAAGUAUCACUUGAACUUUCAAAACGACCUAAACAGCUUACGUGUAGAUUCGUAACUCAUAACCUACGAAAAAAGUUCAAAUAGUGUGAAAAAAGUAACUACAAGACCCAAAAUGGCUACCAAGUGUGUAAUUGUAACAAACUUAGUUCAAACCAACCUAGAACGUGCUUCAAAACGUGUCUAGGUAUUACUUGAGUUUUCAAAACGACCUAGCAAAUCCUAAUGUAGGUUCGUAAUGAUCUACCAAAAAGGUUGAAAAAAGCAUUUCAAGACCAAAAAUGACAACCAGUGCAACAAAAUCAAUCUAACCUAAAAUGUAUUCAAAACAUGUGUACGUAUCACUUAAACUUUCAAAACACCAAAACAAUGCUUAAGUGUAAGUUUGUAACUCACACAAUACCAAAAUUUAAAAAGUGUAAAAAAAGCACUUCAGACCCAAAAAUCGCAACGAAGUAUGUAAGUGCAACGGACUUAGUUUCAAGCCAUCCUAAAAAGAGUGCAAAACGUGUCUAAGAUUUCAAACCGACAAACAAUACUCUCAAGCGUAAGUUCGUAACUCACAAUUCUAAAAAAAUUUCAAAAAGUGUGAAAAAAAGUACUUCAAGACCCAACAUUUCAAUCCAAUGUGUAAGUGCAACAAACUUAGUUUCAAACCAACGCAAAAUGUGUUUAAAACGACCUAACAAUCGUUAAGUGUAAGUUCGUAACUCACAAACUAACAAAAAAAUCAAAAUGCGUGAAAAAUGCACUUUGAGACCUAAAAUGGCAACCAAGUAUGCAAGUGAAACAAACUUAGUCUUAAACAAAUCUAAAAAAAUUUCAAACCGUGUUUAAGUAUCACUUGAACUUUCAGAACGACCUAAGAAUGUUUAUUUGUAAAUUCAUCACUCAUAACCUACCAAAAAGUUCAAGAAGUAUGGAAAAAAAGGAAACACUACACGACCCAAAAUGGCAACCAAGUGCGCAAGUGCAACAAACUUAGUUCCAAACCAACCUAAAAAGUGGUCAAGGCGUGUCUAAGUAUCACUUGGACUUUCAAAACAACCUAACAAAGUUUAAGUGUAAGUUGGUAACCCAUAGCCUACCAAAAAGUUCAAAAAGUGUGAAAAGGGCACUUCAAGACCGAAAAUGGCAACCAAUUGGAUAAGGUCAACAAACUUAGUUUCAAACUAACCUAAACCGAGUUUAAAAGUGUCUAAGUAUCACUUGAACUUUCAAAAUGUCCUAAAACAGCUUACGUGUAGGAUCGUAACUCAUAACCUACGAAAAAAGUUCAAAUAUUGUGAAAAAAGCACUACAAUACCCAAAAUGGCAACCAAGUGUGUAAGUGCAACAAACUUAGUUCAAACCAACCUAAAACGUGCUCAAAACGUGUCUAUGUAUUACUUGAGUUUUCAAAACGACCUAGCAAAUCCUAAGUGUAAGUUCGUAACUCAUAAUCUACCAAAAAGUUUGAAAAAAGCAUUUCAAGACCAAAAAUGACAACCAAGUGCAACAAACUCAAUCUAACCUAAAAUGUAUUCAAAACGUGUGUAACUAUCACUUGAAUUUUCAAAACAACCAAACAAUGCUUAAGGGUAAGUUUGUAACUCACAACCUACCAAAAUUUCAAAAAGUGUGAAAAAGGUACUUCAAGACCCAAAACGGCAACGAAGUAUGUAAGUGCAAUGAACUUAGUUUCAAGUUAUCUUAAAAAGAGUUCAAAAUGUGUCUAAGCUUUCAAACGGACCAAACAAUACUCAAGCGUAAGUUCGCGACUCACAACCUACCAAAAUUUCAAAAAGUGUGGAAAAAAGCACUUGGAGACCCAACAUGUCAAUCAAAUGUCUAAACAAACUUAGUUCCAAACAAACACAAAAUGUGUUUGAAACGACCUAACAAUGCUUAAGUGUAAGUUCGUAACUCACAAACUAACAAAAAGUUCAAAAUGAGUGAAAAUGCACUUUGAGACCUAAAAUGGCAACCAAUUGUGCAAGUGAAACAAACUUAGUGUUAAACAAAUCUAAAAAAUGUGCUUAAAACUACUCUAAAGCACACACAAACACUCUCCAUCUCACUCUCUAUCUGCCCUGUUUCCAAUUUAAUCCGGUAUUCAUUUGGGGUUAUUGUAGGUUCAUAUUUAGAAAUAGUCAUUCAAAGUUGGUUUGAACAUAAUCAGCUAACAUUUCAAAAUAAAGCUUCCUCUUGGACAACUCGAGUCGAAAUGGCUAGAAUCAAUGCUUCUUUUGAUGCUCUCUUUCAAAAGAUUUCAAAGAUUUCUCCAUACAAGAUAUAAGUCAUAAUUGGCCGACUUUCAUUUUUAAUUCUUAGUCCACUACAGUACUCUUAUUUUAUUUCUUUUGGAUUUCUAGUGGUCUUAAAUCUAUGUUGUAUAGUUAUUGGGCAGUUUGUAUGAUCUAUUCCAAACCUUGUCGUUGGUUUAGUCUUUUGGUUUAAGUCUCGAUAUGGUGAGAAUGCUAAGUAGGUGUCAACAUAGAUGAGAUGUCCUAGUGCACUCACUGAUCCUAGGGCUUCUUUGUAUUACCUUUUGUCUUGUCUAUUCAUUUUCAGCUUAAUGAAGAGGCUCCUUUCCUACUUCAAAAAAGAAAAAAAAGGUAAAUGUGUGAUUCUUAUAAAGUAAAUUAUCCUACAGAUUAAAAGUUUGAACUUAUUCCAAGUGCUUCACCAAAUCUUAAAUAUUUGAACCAACAACACCAACUUUGCACAACACAACAAUGUAAAACACAUUAACUACUUUCUCUUUUAUGCACAUUAUAUAUCAAAUAAAAAUAUUAGAAGGGAAAAAAUGGAAAAAAAAAACAUACUAACAACGAUAAAAUAUAAUAAGCUUCAAUCGAAGAGAGAAGGUUUGAAGAACAUAAUUCAAAGGUUCCCAAAAUCAUAUCAUAAUUAGAAAGCCAAUACCAACACCAAUUCAAAGAGAACACCUAAUCUACCAUACAAAAGUCUAAAUAUAACUUUUUUUUAAUCUUGUGUUUUAGUGUAUGAUGCAAGUGAAGCAAAACAACAUUACAAUAUAAGAUCUUUUUACCCUGAUAUUUAAUAAUCAACUAAGAAAAAUUCGCAUUCAAAGUUGACCAAGAAUCCAAGACCUUCAAUAGGCAAAGAUAAUAUUCUCAACAUGGUAAUUGGAUGUGUUCCCUUUAGCAUAGUAUCUUAAAUAAUCACUUUUUGUUAUUUGAGAAAAACUCCAUUUUCUCUUAUUAAUGAAAAAGGACUUGAUAAUAGGCAAGUAUAAUUUAAUAGAAAUUCUAACUAAAGAGAACUAAUUAUAAAAGGAAAUAACGUCUAAAAAGAAUAAUUAAAAAAAUAACUAAGGCAACUAUACAAUACAAAUCUACACUUUGUAAUCACAACUUUCGAUCUUCCUUGUAUGGAGUAACAUUUAAAGAGGCCGAACUAAGAUAGAUCUAAGCAAAAACUUCAUUGAUGGCCUAAGAAAGAUGGAUGGAAACCUUAUAAUGAUACAGGUAACAAACCUUUUCAAUUGAGGUUUAGAUGCAAAACAUGUAAUAUAGUUCAACAUUAUUUUGCCAAAGUUAGUCAUUAAACUCAAGCGAAUCAUAAAACAGAAAAAGAAUGUAGAUUUAAGAGGACUAUGUAAUAUAUCAACUAGGAAUGAAAUAGGCGAAGAUAAAAGCAAGUAUUAAGAACAAAACAAAGCAUAACAAAAGAGGAAGGCCAGCUUACUAUUCAAAAAAGCAAAGGAGUUCCACAUCACUUGCAAGAUAGCCUGUGGAACAUUGCUAUAGAACUAUCUUGGGAACUUUGGCAGAGUUGUGUUUGGAAAUUACAAUGAUGUUUAGCAAAAAUGUUUACAAUAAUAAAACUAUACAUAAAUGUUUCAUAGUGUUGGAAGAAAUUUGUAAGGCCCCCUAUUAUCCAUACAUACAAAAGGAGGGGUAAAAACGUAAAAGCUCAUGCAGCAGAAAAGGGGAGAAUAUUAGGAAAAGAACAUGAGAGUGGGGCCCACGGGGAAGAAUGAGAAAAGAGCUAUAAAUAAGGCCUUAUCGGGAUUGGGGGCUAGGUUAACUUUUUGUCUUCAUUUGGUCUGUAGAGGCUGCUAGGUCUAGGAAGGACUACUAUCUUUUCCUGGGGAGGUUUGACAUGAUAUUAUCAUCUUUAUUGCUUUCUUUUAUAUUUCCUUCUACUGUAUCUCUUGGCAUUUAUAUAUAAAUAAAGAUCUACAGAGUGCUGUCUCUGUUUGCCAACUGUUUGGGUAAUUUAGUAUUUUAUUUGUGGAGUCUCUACAACUGGUAUCAGAGCCCAAAUGCUGGGGUGGUGACGCGACUGAUGGCGCAAAGGCAAAUAGAAGAAAGAAUAGAUGGAACAGAGAAAGAAAUACUGGGCUUGAAGGAAAUGAUUCUGGAAAUGAAGAAAUCCAUGGAUAGACUGACUGAUGAAAUGAAAGAAAACAGCAGCUACAAAAGGCGAGAUGAAUCCGGAACUUCUGAUGGAUCAGUCAUGAAGUUAAAAGGAAAAUGGGAAGAAGCCGACAAUCUAGGGGAAAACAAUGUAGUAACUGUCGACCGAAGCAAAUAUAAGAAACUGGAAAUGCCGAUUUUCACCGGGGAAAAUCCUGAGUCAUGGGUGUUUAGAGCUGAGCAUUUUUUCGAAAUUAAUAGCCUACCGGAAGCAGAAAAAGUGAAAGUAGCGGUGGUUAGUUUCGGACAAGAUGAAAUCGAUUGGUACCGUUGGAGUAACCAUAGAAAGAAGGUGGAAGGAUGGGAAGAUUUGAAGGUAAGGAUGUUUGAAUUUUUUCGAGAUUCUGGGCAGAAAAGCUUAGGUGCAAGGCUGAUUCGAAUAGAACAAGAUGGAUCCUAUAAUGAUUAUGUCAAGAAAUUCGUACAAUAUUCUGCACCACUACCGCACAUGGCUGAAAGCGUGCUCUUAGAUGCAUUCGUGACAGGUCUAGAACCGGCUCUUCAAGCAGAAGUUAUUAGUAGACAUCCUCAAACCUUAGAGGAAUGUAUGAAGGAGGCACAACUGGUAAGUGGCAGAAACCUAGCCUUGAAAUUAGCCAAGGCAGAAUGGGUAAACAGUGUGACUAGGGAAGGAGGAGGCUCAAGCAAGGGACAAAGCAGUCAAGAUAAAAGUUCACCAAAGAAGACUGAGUUCCCCAUGAAGCAAGUCACUAUUCCCAUUAAAGGAAACUACCAGAAAAAUGAACCUGCAGUUAAAAGACUCUUGGACACGGAAUUCAGAGCAAGAUUGGCAAGGGUUUGUGUUUUAGAUGCAAUGAGAAGUACUCACCGGGACACCGAUGCAAGAUGAGAGAGAAAAGGGAAUUAAUGUUAUUUAUACUUAACGAAGAAGAGAGUGGCGGGGAGGAAGUCAAAAUGGAAGAGACCGAAGAAGUAAUGGAGCUGAACCAGUUAGUUGUUGCUGAAACCACCGAAAUUGAAUUGAAGACACUCACGGGGUUAACAUCCAAAGGGACAAUGAAACUGAAGGGGCAUGUAAAAGGAAGGGAGGUGGUGAUUCUCAUCGACAGUGGAGCUACGAACAACUUCAUCCAUGAAGCAGUGGCAAUGGAAGGAGGGUUGAACAUUGAACCCGGUACACAAUUUGGAGUGACUAUUGCAGACGGGACCCGCUGUAAAGGGAAAGGUAUUUGCAGAAAGGUGGAACUGAGAUUGAAAGAAAUGACAGUUAUAACUGAUUUUCUAGUGGUGGAACUAGGAAAUAUUGACGUGAUUUUAGGGAUGCAAUGGCUAGAUACCACCGGCACAAUGAAGGUACAUUGGCCAUCAUUAACCAUGACCUUUUGGGCAAAAGACAAGCAAAUCGUGUUAAGAGGAGAUCCAUCCUUAGUGAAACCUGAAUGUUCUUUGAAGACAUUGGAAAAAACGUGGGAUAUAGUGUAAGACCUCCAGUUAUUCAUACAUAUCAAAGGAGGGGCAGAAAAGUAAUUGGACAAAUUAAUAAUGAGGAAGGAAAAAGAGGAGGAGAUCCUGCAGGUGGGGCCCAGGCACAGAAAUAAGAGAAAGAUGAGAGAAGGAAUAUAAAUAGGUUUUUUAGGUCUAGGGGAGGUAGGUUUUAUUUUUAUCCUGAAGUUGGCGGCUGCUUAGCCUAGAGGAAUAUCCAGUCUUUCCCUAGAGGAAGCUGGGUUUGUCUUCAUUAUUCCUUGUUUUUCUUGAAUCUUUAUGUUUUUCUGUACUCAUUUUGGCUAUAUAUAAAUAAAGAUAGCAGAGGGCUACCUCUGUUUUUGGCCAUUGUAAGGGAGAAAUAGUGAAGUAAGCAAGUUGAAUCCUUACAUAUAGAAGACCAAGGCUUCCUCUUAGAAUUCCAGAAUUAUGAGAUGGAAGUAGAGAAUGAAUAUGAACUGGGGACAAGAUUAAAAGGAGAUGAGGAGGAAAUAUCUAUGAUCCGAUCCCUGCUCAAGUAUUAUGCGGAGAUAUUUGAGACACCGAAGAAAUUACCUCCAAAAAGAGCUAUUGAUCACCGAAUAUUAACCCUACCUGACCAUAAACCUAUCCCUUACUCCAGCCCGGUGUUGUUAGUGAAGAAAAAAGAUGGUGGAUGGAGAUUUUGUGUCGAUUACCGCAAGUUAAAUCAGGCGACAGUAUCGGAUAAGUUCCCAAUUCCUGUGAUAGAGGAAUUAUUAGAUGAGCUGAAUAGGGCAACGGUUUUCUCGAAAUUAGAUCUGAAAUCUGGUUAUCACCAGAUUAGAAUGAAAGAGGAAGAUGUGGAGAAAACUGUGUUCCGCACACAUGAAGGGCACUAUGAGUUUCUAGUAAUGCCGUUUGGUCUCACGAAUGCUCUGGCAACCUUCCAAUCUUUGAUGAACCAGGUAUUUAAACCUUUCCUUCGGCGCUGUGUUUUGGUGUUCUUUGAUGAUAUACUGGUUUAUAGUGCGGAUAUAGAUGAACACGCAAAGCAUUUGGGCAUGGUAUUCAAUGUUUUGAAGGAUAACCAGCUGUUUGCUAACAAAAAAAAAUGCGUUAUAGCCCAUUCUCAAAUACAGUACUUGGGACAUAUGAUAUCCAAAAGAGGAGUUGAGGCAGAUGAGGAUAAGAUCAAGAAGAUGAUUAAUUGGCCACCACCAACGAAUAUAUCUGGUCUGCGGGGCUUCUUAGGACUGACAGGAUAUUAUAGGAGGUUUGUCAAGGGUUAUGGAGAGAUCGCUGCACCGCUAACCAAGUUAUUACAGAAGAAUGCUUUUAAGUGGAAUGAAGAAGCAAAUACUGCCUUCGAAAAUUUGAAGCUAGCAAUGACUACUCUACCAGUGUUGGCAUUACCAGAUUGGAACAUUCCCUUUAUUAUCGAAACUGAUGCAUCUGGCGUAGGGUUAGGAGCGGUGAUCUCUCAAAAUGGCCACCCGAUUGCCUUUUUCAGUCAGAAGUUAUCCACAAGGGCUCAAAACAAAUCCAUCUAUGAAAGAGAGUUGAUGGCUGUAGUUCUAUCAGUUCAAAAAUGGAGGCAUUAUUUGCUGGGCAGGAAGUUCACCAUACUUUCAGAUCAAAAGGCUCUUAAAUUCUUGCUUGAACAGAGAGAGGUACAGCCCCAAUUCCAGAAAUGGUUGACAAAGCUCCUUGGAUAUGAUUUCGAGAUUUUAUAUCAACCCGGACAUCAGAACAAGGCAGCGGACGCCCUAUCUAGAAUGGAGCAACCGGUGGAGCUGCACAGCUUGACAACUACUGGAAUCAUUGAUGUGAAACUAAUCGAGCAGGAAGUUGAGAAUGAUGCUGAACUUAAGAAAAUUAUGGAAAAUCUGAAGAAAAAUGCAGAAGAAGGAAGCAAGUUUCAAGUGGAAAAAGGAAGAUUGCUCUAUAAGGGGAGAAUGGUAGUAUCUCAAACUUCUACACUUAUACCCAAGAUCCUACAUACUUUCCACGAUUCUAUCCUCGGGGGACAUUCUGGAUUUUUAAGAACUUACAAGAGGAUCAGUGGAGAACUAUAUUGGAGGGGUAUGAAGGCUGAAAUAAAGAAAUAUGUGGAACAAUGCGAGAUCUGCCAGAGAAACAAAUACGAAGCAACCAAACCAGCUGGGGUACUUCAACCAAUUCCAAUUCCUGACAGAAUCUUAGAAGAUUGGACCAUGGACUUUAUUGAGGGGUUGCCACUAGCUGGAGGGGUUAAUGUGAUCAUGGUGGUAGUUGAUCGGCUGAGUAAGUAUUCUUACUUUAUAUCAUUGAGACAUCCGUUUUCAGCCAAGCAAGUUGCUUCCAUAUUCAUCGACAGAAUAGUAAGCAAGCACGGCAUUCCUAAGUCGAUUAUCACAGAUCGGGAUAAAAUCUUUCUUAGUAAUUUUUGGAAGGAACUGUUUGCAACCAUGGGAACUAUUCUAAAGAGGAGUACCGCGUUUCACCCACAAACUGAUGGGCAGACAGAAAGGGUAAAUAGAUGUCUCGAAACUUAUCUGCGAUGCUUCUGUAAUGAACAACCAAAAAAAUGGGAUAGACUGAUUCCAUGGGCAGAAUUGUGGUAUAAUACCACCUUCCAUGCAUCCACCAAAAUGACCCCUUUCCAGACGGUAUACCGCAGACCGCCUCCUCCCCUGUUAUCCUAUGGUUACAAGAAAACUCCUAAUAAUGAGGUUGACACGCUGCUGAAGGAACGUGACUUAGCCAUCAAUGCCUUAAAAGAACACCUGUGUGUAGCCUAGAACAGGAUGAAGAAAAUGGCUGAUCGAAAUAGAAGAGAGUUAAAAUUUAAGGUAGGAGAUGAAGUCUACUUGAAAUUGAGACCUUACCGGCAACGCUCCUUGGCUCGGAAGAAGUGUGAAAAGUUAGCACCUAAAUAUUACGGACCCUACAAAAUUACUGAAGAAAUAGGAGCAGUUGCGUACAGAUUGAUGUUACCGCCGGAAGCCAGUAUCCACAAUGUGUUCCAUAUUUCUCAGUUAAAACUGAAACUGGGUAGUCAACAAGCUGUUCAACACCAGCAACCUAGGCUAACGGAAGAGUUUGAGUUACAAUUAUGGCCGGAAACAGUGUUGGGAGUCCGUUGGAAUCGGGAAUUGGGAGGAAAUGAAUGGUUAAUUAAGUGGAAAGGGCUGCCGGACAGUGAAACAACUUGGGAAUCUGUUUUCCAAAUGAACCAACAAUUCCCUGACUUUCACCUUGAGGACAAGGUGAACCUGGAACCGAGGGGUAUUGUAAGGCCCCCUAUUAUCCAUACAUACAAAAGGAGGGGUAAAAACGUAAAAGCUCACGCAGCAGAAAAGGGGAGAAUAUUAGGAAAAGAACAUGAGAGUGGGGCCCACGGGGAAGAAUGAGAAAAGAGCUAUAAAUAAGGCCUUAUCGGGAUUGGGGGCUAGGUUAACUUUUUGUCUUCAUUUGGUCUGUAGAGGCUGCUAGGUCUAGGAAGGACUACUAUCUUUUCCUGGGGAGGUUUGACAUGAUAUUAUCAUCUUUAUUGCUUUCUUUUAUUUCCUUCUACUGUAUCUUUUGGCAUUUAUAUAUAAAUAAAGAUCUACAGAGUGCUGUCUCUGUUUGCCAACUGUUUGGGUAAUUUAGUAUUUUAUUUGUGGAGUCUCUACAAAAUUAUAGCAAUUCAUUGCAAAUAAGAUGCAGUACCUUG